rnacentral:lncRNA from 1 species
CUGUAAUUGCACCAACUGCCCCUUUAUUCUCUUUGCCACUAGAUUGCAUGGACAGACGACGUAUCUUAUUUGGGAAUGAAUUGCAUACACGCCCAUUUAAAACAGUGGCAAAAUUCUCUUCAUCGGAUAAAGAUAUGACAAGGUCAAGCACCAUAUCAUGAACCCUACAAUAUUUCACCGAACUGUCAUGAUUACCAUAAACUGGCUGAAUCAUAUUUCUAUUAACGAGUUCAUUAAANNNNNNNNNNNNNNNNNNNNNNNNNNNNNNNNNNNNNNNNNNNNNNNNNNNNNNNNNNNNNNNNNNNNNNNNNNNNNNNNNNNNNNNNNNNNNNNNNNNNUAACCCUUUACGACGAACUCUUUAACCACCUCCAUAAUUGAGAAAAAAUUCCUUAGUCCAUUAGUUACUAAGGAUAAAUUUUGACCGCUGCUAGUGAUUCAAUGAUGGAUCACUCUCUGUACCUCUCAACAGACUUUGAGUCAAGGCACACAUCAGGUGCGGUACACAGCAUGGCAUACUUUAGAUUCUACGGCUAAGGCAUAGAAGACGACCUUCGUCUAUUCUCUUUAUUCUGCCGUGGUCGGGUUUUGAGUCUUACUCAAAUUCACACCUCACAACGCAACCAAGAACUCUUUCUUCGCUGAUCUAUUUUGAACUCCUUCAAAAACUUGUCAAGGCAUGCAUUUUAUUGAAACUUUCAUUAAGCGCUUUUGAUCUAUCUCCAUAGAUCUUUGAUGCUCAACGUUCAAGUAGCGCAAUCCAGGUAUUCCUUUGAAAACUCCAUUCAAACAACCUUAUAUGCUUUACAGAGAUUCUACAUCACUUCUGAUCCACAAUAUGUCAACCACAUAUACUUAUCAGAAAUUCUAUAGUGCUCCCACUCACUUCUUUGGAAAUACAAGUUUCUCAUAAACCUUGUACAAACCCAAAAUCUUUGAUCAUCUCAUCAAAGUGUAUAUUCCAACUCCGAGAUGCUUGCACCAGUCCAUUGAAGGAUCGCUGGAGCUUGCAUACUUUUUAGUAUCUUUAGGAUCGACAAAACCUUCUGGUUGUAUCACAUACAAUGUUUGCUCAAGGAAACCGUCGAGGAAACAAUGUUUUGACAUCUUAUGUGCAAUAUUUCAUAAAUAAUGCAGCAACUACUAACAUAAUUCUAACAGACUUUUAGCAUCGCUACGAGUGAGAAAGUCUCAUCAUAGUCAACUGUUUGAUCUUGUCGGAAACAUCUUCGCGACAAGUCGAGCUUUUCUUAAUAGUGACUUAUCACCAUCAUCGUCUGUCUUCCUUUUAAAGAUCCAUCUUUACUCAAUAGUCCUAUGACCAUCAAGUAAUUCUUCCAAAGUCUACACUUUGUUUUCAUACAUGGAUCCUCUCUCGGAUUUCAUGGCCUCCAGCCAUUUGUCGGAAUCCGGGCCCACCAUUGCUUUCUUCAUAACUCGUAGGUUCACUGUUGCUCAACAACAUGACCUCCAAGACAGGGUUACCGUACCACUCUGCAGUAGUACGCGACCUUGUCAACCUACGAGGUUUGUUAGUAACUUGAUCCGAUGCUCGAUGAUCACCAUCAUCAGCUUUCACUUCAAUUGGUGUAGGCGCCACAGGAACACCUUCCUGCGCCCUGCUACACACUGGUUGAAGUGAUGGUUCAAUAACCUCAUCAAGUUCUACCACCCUCCCACUCAAUUCUUUCGAGAGAAACCUUUCCUCGAGAAAGGAUCCGUUUCUAGAAACAAACACUUUGCUUUCGGAUCUGAGAUAGGAGAUGUACCCAACUGUUUUGGAUAUCCUAUGAAGAUGCAUUUAUCCGCUUUGGGUUCGAACUUAUCAGACUGAAACUUUUUCACAUAAGUGUCGAAGCCCCAAACUUUCAAGAAACGACAGUUUAGAUUUCUCUAAACCUCAGUCUAUACUGUGUCAUCUCAACGGAAAUACGCGGUGCCCUAUUUAAAGUGAAUGCGGUUGUCUCUAAUGCAUAACCCAUAAACGAUAGUGGUAAUUCGAUAAGAGACAUCAUAGCAUGCACCAUACCAAAUAGUGCGUGGCUAUGACGUUCAGACACAUCAUCACACUAUGAUGUUCCAGGUGGCAUUAACUGCGAAAUAAUUUCCACAUUGUCUUAACUGCGUACCAAAACUCGUAACUGAGAUAUUCAUUUCUAUGAUCAUAUCGUAGACCGUUUAUCCUCUUGUUACGACGAACUUCACUCCGAAACAGAAUUGAACUUUUCAAUAUUUCAGACUUGUAAUUCAUUAAGUAAAUACUCUUGUAUCUACUCAAAUCGUCAUUGAAGUAAGAACAUAAUGAUAUCCAUUGCGUGCCUCAGCACCCAUUGGACUGCAUACAUCAUAAUGUAUCACUUCCAACAAGUUGCUGUCUUGUUUCAUCUCAAUGAAAACAAGGCCUUGCUCAUGUGGUAUGAUUUGCAUGUCACUAGUGAUUCAAAAUCAAGUGAGUAUAAAGAUCCAUCAGCAUGGAGCCUCUUCAUGCAAUUUAUACCAACAUGACUCAAGCGGCAGUGCCACAAGUAAGUGGUACUAUCAUCAUUNNNNNNNNNNGAAAUCAGGUGAGUACAAAGAUCCAUCAGCAUGGAGCCUCUUCAUGCAAUUUAUACUAACAUGACUCAAGCGGCAGUGCCACAAGUAAGUGGUACUAUCAUCAUUAACUCGUAUCUUUUGGCACCAAUAUCAUGAACAUGUGUAACACUACGAUCGAGAUUCAAUAAACCAUUGAAGGUGAUUUUUCAAGCAAAUAGAGUAACCAUUAUUCUCUUUAAAUGAAUAAUCGUAUUGCAAUANNNNNNNNNNNNNNNNNNNNNNNNNNNNNNNNNNNNNNNNNNNNNNNNNNNNNNNNNNNNNNNNNNNNNNNNNNNNNNNNNNNNNNNNNNNNNNNNNNNNGGUUUUACAGACUCAGUGUGCAAAGUUUGCUACUAUCAACUUUCAACUAAAAUUUCUCUAGGAACAUAUAAAAACAGUANNNNNNNNNNGAGGACAAUCCUCUUCAAAGUUUGCUACUAUCAACUUUCACCUAAUUUUCUCUAGGAACAUAUAAAAACAGUAGAGCUAUAGCGCAAGCUACAUCGUAAUUCGCAAAGACCAUUAGACUAUGUUCAUGACAAUUAGUUCAAUUAAUCAUAAUACUUAAGAACUCCCACUCAAAAAGUACAUCUCUCUAGUCAUUUGAGUGGUACAUGAUCCAAAUCCACUAUCUCAAGUCCGAUCAUCACGUGAGUCGAGAAUAGUUUCAGUGGUAAGCAUCUCUAUGCUAAUCAUAUCAACUAUACGAUUCAUGCUCGACCUUUCGGUCUCAUGUGUUCCGAGGCCAUGUCUGCACAUGCUAGGCUCGUCAAGCUUAACCCGAGUGUUCCGCGUGUGCAACUGUUCUGCACCCGUUGUAUGUGAAUGUUGAGUCUAUCACACCCGAUCAUCACGUGGUGUCUCGAAACGAAGAACUGUAGCAACGGUGCACAGUCGGGGAGAACACAAUUUCGUCUUGAAAUUUUAGUGAGAGAUCACCUCGUAAUGCUACCGUCGUUCUAAGCAAGAUAAGGUGCAUAAAGUAUUAACAUCACAUGCAAUUCAUAAGUGACAUGAUAUGGCCAUCAUCAUNNNNNNNNNNCCUAAGCAAGAUAAGGUGCAUAAAGGAUUAACAUCACAUGCAAUUCAUAAGUGACAUGAUAUGGCCAUCAUCAUGUGCUUCUUGAUCUUCAUCACCAAAGCACCGGCACGAUCAUCUUAUCACCGGCGUCACACCAUGAUCUCCAUCAUCAUGAUCUCCAUCAACGUGUAGCCAUCGGGGUUGUCGUGCUACUCAUGCUAUUACUACUAAAGCUACGUCCUAGCAAUAUAGUAAACGCAUCUGCAAGCACAAACGUUAGUUUAAAGACAACCCUAUGGCUCCUGCCGGUUGCCGUACCAUCGACGUGCAAGUCGAUAUUUCCUAUUACAACAUGAUCAUCUCAUACAUCCAAUAUAUCACAACAUCGUUGGCCAUUUCACAUCACAAGCAUACCCUGCAAAAACAAGUUAGACGUCCUCUAAUUGUUGUUGCAUGUUUUACGUGGUGACCAUGGGCAUUUAGUAGGAUUGCAUCUUACUUACGCAAACACCACAACGGAGAUAUAUGAAUUGCUAUUUAACCUCAUCCAAGGACCUCCUCGGUCAAAUCCGAUUCAACUAAAGUUGGAGAAACAGACACUCGCCGGUCAUCUUUGAGCAACGGAGUUACUCGUAGCGAUGAAACCAGUCUCUCGUAAGCGUACGAGUAAUGUCGGUCCGAGCCGCUUCGAUCCAACAAUACCGCGGAAUCAAGAAAAGACUAAGGAAGGCAGCAAAACACACAUCACCGCCCACAAAAACUUUUGUGUUCUACUCGAGAAUACAUCUAUGCAUGAACCUAGCUCAUGAUGCCACUGAUGGGGAACGUCGNNNNNNNNNNNNNNNNNNNNNNNNNNNNNNNNNNNNNNNNNNNNNNNNNNNNNNNNNNNNNNNNNNNNNNNNNNNCUACGAGAGGGGAUUUCAGAUCUACGUACCCUUGUAGAUCGCACAGCAUAAGCGUUAAGAAACGCGGUUGAUGUAGUGGAACGUCCUCACGUCCCUCGAUCCGCCUCGCGAACCAUCCCACGAACCGUCCCGCGAUCCGUCCCACGAUCCGCUCCGAUCUAGUGUCGAACGGACGACACCNNNNNNNNNNCGUCCCACGAACCGUCCCACGAUCCGUCCCACGAUCCGCUCCGAUCUAGUGUCGAACGGACGACACCNNNNNNNNNNUAUGGAGGUAUGUGGUCGGGCAGCCGUGAGAAAGUCGUCUCAAAUCUGCCCUAAAAGCCCCAUAUAUAUAGGAGGAGGGAGGGGGACCUUGCCUUGGGGUCCAAGGAACCCUCAAGGGGUCGGCCGAGCCAAGGGGGGGAGGACUCCCCCCCCCCAAACCGAGUUGGACUUGGUUUGGUGGGAGGAGUCCCCCUCCCUUCCCACUUCCUCCCUCUUUUUUUUCUUUUCCUUUGAUUUCCUUCUCUUGGCGCAUAGGCCCCCUUGGGGCUGUCCCACCAGCCCACUAAGGGCUGGUGUGUCUCCCCAAAGCCUAUGGGCUUCNNNNNNNNNNACCACUAUAUAUAGGAGGGAGGGAGGGGAGGAGGCAGCCGCAAAACCUGUAUGAACCCAAACGCUUUAAUCACCUCAUUAAAGCGAAUGUUCCAACUCCGAGAUGCUUGCACCAGCCCAUAGAUGGAGCGCUGGAGCUUGCACACUUUUUUAGCACCCUUAGGGUCGACAAAACCUUCUGGUUGCAUCAUAUACAACUCUUCCUUAAGGUUCNNNNNNNNNNNNNNNNNNNNNNNNNNNNNNNNNNNNNNNNNNNNNNNNNNNNNNNNNNNNNNNNNNNNNNNNNNNNNNNNNNNNNNNNNNNNNNNNNNNNGCAUAUUUCCAACAGUCUCCCACUUGCACUAGAGUCAAUAAUCUAGUUACAUUGUGAUGUAUCGAACACUCAUAGCAUUAUGGUGUUGAUCAUGUUUUGCUCGUGGAAGAGGUUUAGUCAAUGGGUCUGCAAUAUUCAGAUCCGUGUGUACUUUACAAAUAUCUAUCACUCCACUCUGGACAUGGUCCUGGAUGGAGUUGUAGCGGCGUUUGAUGUGCUUCGUCUUCCGGUGAAACCUGGGCUCCUUGGCUAUGGCAAUGGCUCCAGUGUUAUUACAGAAGAGUGUCAUUGGACCCGACGCGCUUGGAACCACUCCAAGGUCGGUGAUGAGCUCUUUCAUCCAAAUUCCUUCAUGAGCUGCUUCUGAAGCAGCUAUGUACUCCGCUUCACAUGUAGAUGCUGCCAUGACUUCUUGCUUGCUGCUGCACCAGCUCACUGCCCCACCAUUCAACACAUAUACGUAUCCGGUUUGUGACUUAGAGUCAUCCGGAUCUGUGUCGAAGUUAGCGUCGACGUAACCCUUUACGAUAUUAAGGAUAUUCUCUGUUCCAUGCGUGGAUCACUUUGGUACCUCCCUACCAAACUUAUGGCAAGGUUUAUAUCAGGUCUGGUACACAGCAUGGCAUACAUUAGAGAGCCCACGGCUGAAGCGUAGGGGACAGAACUCAUCUUCUCUCUAUCUGCUGCCGUGGUCGGCGACUGAGUCUUACUCAAUCUCAUACCUUUAAAAACUGGCAAGAACCCUUUCUUUGAGUUUUCCAUAUUGAACUUCUUCAAUAUCUUGUCAAGGUAUGUACUUUGCGAAAGACCUAUGAGGCGUCUUGAUCUAUCUCUAUAGAUCUUGAUGCCUAAUAUGUAUGCAGCUUCUCCAAGGUCCUUCAUUGAAAAACUCUUGUUCAAAUAGGCCUUUAUGCUCUCCAACAUCUCUAUAUUAUUCCCCAUCAAUAAUAUGUCAUCCACAUACAGUAUGAGGAAAGCUACAGAGCUCCCACUCACUUUCUUGUAUAGACAGGCUUCUUCGUNNNNNNNNNNNNNNNNNNNNNNNNNNNNNNNNNNNNNNNNNNNNNNNNNNNNNNNNNNNNNNNNNNNNNNNNNNNNNNNNNNNNNNNNNNNNNNNNNNNNAUUUGUUUUAAUUUUUUGUUGUCUUUGUUCAUUUCUUCUAACAUGUAACACCUGUUGGGUAACGUAGCAUAAAUUUAAAAUUUUUCUACACAUAUUCAGAUCUUCCUAUGGAGAGACCAGCAACGAGAGAGGGGUAAGAGCAUCUUCAUACCUUUGAAGAUCGCUAAGCGGAAGCGUUGCUAGAACGCGGUUGAUGGAGUCGUACUCGCAGCGAUUCCGAUCUAGUGCCGAACUACGGCACCUCCGCGCUCAACACACGUGCAGCCCGGUGACGUCUUCCGCACCUUGAUCCAGCAAGGAGGAGGGAGAGGUUGGGGAAGAACUCCAGCAGCACGACGGCGUGGUGUCGAUGGAGAGACGAGGUCUCCCGGCAGGGCUUCGCCAAGCACCGGCAGAGAGGAGGAGAAAGAAGAGCAGGGCUUCGCCGAGGGAGAGGGGAAAAGUCUAUCUCCCAAUGGCCAAAAGUGCCCGAUAUAUAUAGGGGGAGGGGAGAGGGGGUGCCACCCCUAGGGUUCCCACCCUAGGGGGUGCGGCGGCCAGAAGGGGAGGAGGGGGUGGCACACAAUCUGGUGGGCCUUAGGCCCACCUGGCUUAGGGUUUGCCCCCCCUUUCUCUCCCCUGCGCAUUGGGCUGAGUGGGGAGGCGCACCAGCCCACCUAGGGGCUGGUUACCACCCCCACUUGGCCCACCUUACCUCCCGGGGUCGUUGCCCUCCUUCGGUGGUCCCCCGGGGCCACCUCCGGUGGUCCCGGUGGUCCCGGUACGUUACCGGUGAUGCCCGAAACACUUCCGGUAUCCAAAACCAUCCGUCCUAUAUAUCAAUCUUUACCUCCGGACCAUUUCGGAGCUCCUCGUGACGUCCGGGAUCUCAUCCGGGACUCCGAACAACUUUCGGUAACCUCGUAUAACAAUUCCCUAUAACCUUAGCGUCAUCGAACCUUAAGUGUGUAGACCCUACGGGUUCGGGAGACAGGCAGACAUGACCGAGACACCUCUCUGGCCAAUAACCAUCAGCGGGGUCUGGAUACCCAUGGUGGCUCCUACUUGCUCCAUGAUGAUCUCAUCGGAUGAACCACGAUGUCAAGGAUUCAAUCAAUCCCGUAUACAAUUCCCUUUGUCUGUCGGUAUAGAACUUGCCCGAGAUUCGAUCGUCGGUAUACCUAUACCUUGUUCAAUCUCAUUACCGGUAAGUCUCUUUACUCGUUCCGUAGCACGUCAUCGUGUGACUAAAUCCUUAGUCACAUUGAGCUCAUGAUGAUGUUCUACCGAGUGGGCCCAGAGAUACCUCUCCGUCACGCGGAGUGAUAAAUCCCGAUCUCGAUUCGUACCAACCCAACAGACACUUUCAGAGAUACCCGUAGUGCACCUUUAUAGUCACCCAGUUCCGUUGUGACGUUUGAUACACCCAAAGCACUCAUACGGUAUCCGGGAGUUGCACAAUCUCACGGUCAAAGGAAAAAACACUUGACAUUAGAAAAGCUUUAGCAUACGAACAAUACGAUCUAGUGCUAUGCUUAGGAUUGGGUCUUGUCCAUCACAUCAUUCUCCCCAUGAUGUGAUCCCGUUAUCAAUGACAUCUAAUGCCCAUGACCAGGAAGCCAUGAUCAUCUAUUGACUAACGAGCUAGCCAACUAGAGGCUUGCUAGGGACACAUUGUGAUCUAUUUAUUCACACAUGUAUUACUGUUUCCUGUUAAUACAAUUAUAGCAUGAACAAUAGACGAUUAUCAUGAACAAGGAAAUAUGAUAAUAACCAUUUUAUUAUUGCCUCUAGGGCAUAUUUCCAAUAGAUUCCUGAUGGCGGAACCUUUGACUACUUCCCAAGUUGACUCCAUGUUGAAGCUUAGGCUCGUUCGGCUUCGUCCCAAUUCUUCCUCUUCUUUUUGCUGGAACAAAUCACAGCCAAUUGUUGCAUUGCAGGAGGCUAUCGCUGUUGGGAAACGUCGCAUGGGAAACAAAAUUUUUCCUACGCGCACGAAAACCUAUCAUGGUGAUGUUCAUCUACGUGAGGGAUUUCAGAUCUACGUACCCUUGUAGAUCACACAGCAGAAGCGUUAAUAAACGCGGUUGAGGUAGUGGAACGUCCUCACGUCCCUCAAUCCGCCCCGCGAACCAUCCCAUGAACCGUCCCGUGAUCCGUCCCACGAUCCGCUCCGAUCUAGUGCCGAACGGACGGCACCUCCGCGUUCAGCACACGUACAACUCGACGAUGAUCUCGGCCUUCUUGAUCCAGCAAGAGAGAUGGAGAGGUAGAUGAGUUCUCCAGCAGCGUGACGGCGCUCCGGAGGUUGGUGGUGAUCUAAUCUCAGCAGGGCUCCGCACGAGCUCUGCAGAAACGCGAUCUAGAGGAAAAACCGUGGAGGUAUGUGGUCGGGCUGCCGUGGAAAAGUUGUCUCAAAUCUGCCCUAAAACCUCCGUAUAUAUAGGGGGGGAGGGGAUGAGCCUUGCCUUAGGGCUCAAGGAGCCCCAAUGGGUUCCGCCGAUGGGGGGAAGGAGGAGUCCUCCUCCAAUCCUAGUCCAACUAGGAUUGGAAGGUGGAGUCCUUCCCUUCCUUCCCACUUCCCCUUUUUUUCUUUCUCCUUUGAUUUUCUAUCUCCCUGUGCAUCGGCCUCUCUGGGCUUGCCCACCAGCCCACUAAGGGCUGGUACGGCACCCCUAAGGCCUAUGGGCUUCCCCGGGGUGGGCUGCCCCCGGUGAACAUCCGGAACCCAUUCGUCAUUCCGAGUACAUUCCCGGUAAUUCCGAAAACCUUCCGGUAAUCAAAUGAGGUCAUCCUAUAUAUCAAUCUUCGUCUCCGGACCAUUCCAGAAACCCUCGUGACUUCCGUGAUCUCAUCCGGGACCCCUAACAACAUUCUGUAACCAACCAUAUAACUCAAAUACGCAUAAAACAACGUCGAACCUUANNNNNNNNNNNNNNNNNNNNNNNNNNNNNNNNNNNNNNNNNNNNNNNNNNNNNNNNNNNNNNNNNNNNNNNNNNNNNNNNNNNNNNNNNNNNNNNNNNNNGGACGUUCCACUACAUCAACCGCGUUCUCUAACGCUUCUGCUGUACGAUCUACAAGGGUACGUAGAUCACUCAUCCCCUCUCGUAGAUGGAUAUCACCAUGAUAGGUCUUCGUGCGCGUAGGAAAAUUUUUGUUUCCCAUGCGACGUUCCCCAUCAGUGGCAUCAUGAGCUAGGUUCAUGCAUAGAUGUCUUCUCGAGUAGAACACAAAAGGUUUUGUGGGCGUUGAUGUGCGUUUUGCUACCCUCCUUAGUCUUUUCUUGAUUCCGCGGUAUUGUUGGAUUGAAGCGGCUUGGACAGACAUUACUUGUACGCUUACGAGAGACUGGUUUCAUCGUUACGAGUAACCCCCUUUGCUCAAAGAUGACUGGCAAGUGACGGUUUCUCCAACUUUAGUUGAAUCCGAUUUGACCGAGGAGGUCCUUGGAUGAGGUUAAAUAGCAACUCAUAUAUCUCCGUUGUGGUGUUUGCGUAAGUAAGAUGCGAUCCUACUAGAUACCCUUGGUCACCACGUAAAACAUGCAACAACAAAAUUAGAGGACGUCUAACUUGUUUUUGCAGGGUAUGAUUGUGAUGUGAUAUGGCCAACGAUGUGAUGUGAUAUAUUGGAUGUAUGAGAUGAUCAUGUUGUAAUAGAAAUAUCGACUUGCAUGUCGAUGGUACGACAACCGGCAGGAGCCAUAGGGUUGUCUUUAUACUAACGUUUGUGCUUGCAGAUGCGUUUACUAUUUUGCUAGGAUGUAGCUUUAAUAGUAAUAGCAUAAGUAGCACGACAACCCCGAUGGCAACACGUUGAUGGAUGAUCAUGGUGUGGCGCCGGUGACAAGAAGAUCGUGUCGGUGCUUUGGUGAUGGAGAUCAAGAAGCACGUGAUGAUGGCCAUAUCAUGUCACUUAUGAAUUGCAUGUGAUGUUAAUCUUUUUUUGCACCUUAUUUUGCUUAGAACGACGGUAGCAUUAUGAGGUGAUCUCUCACUAAAAUUUCAAGACGAANNNNNNNNNNNNNNNNNNNNNNNNNNNNNNNNNNNNNNNNNNNNNNNNNNNNNNNNNNNNNNNNNNNNNNNNNNNNNNNNNNNNNNNNNNNNNNNNNNNNNNNNNNNNNNNNNNNNNNNNNNNNNNNNNNNNNNNNNNNNNNNNNNNNNNNNNNNNNNNNNNNNNNNNNNNNNNNNNNNNNNNNNNNNNGUUCACAUACAACGGGUGCAAAACAGUUGCACACGCGGAACACUUGGGUUAAGCUUGACGAGCCUAGCAUGUGCAGACAUGGCCUCGGAACACNNNNNNNNNNNNNNNNNNNNNNNNNNNNNNNNNNNNNNNNNNNNNNNNNNNNNNNNNNNNNNNNNNNNNNNNNNNNNNNNNNNNNNNNNNNNNNNNNNNNACAGGUUUUGUGAUGAACUUGCUCAAACUAGAUAUCCACUGUUCUGCUCAUACCACAUCUCCACUGCUCUGCUGUUAUCAGAAAACAGGACCAGUGCCUCGGACAUCCGGCCUCCUCCGAACGUCCGAGGGCCAGACGUCCGACCUGCUUCGGAAAUCCGGAAUCCUUUACCAGAGAAAUCAGAGCCAUAUAACUCGGACUCCCGGCUCCCUCCGGACGUCCGAGGGCCGGUCGUCCGACCAACUUCGGAAAUCCGGAGCUUUGCACCAGAAGAACUUGAGCCAUAUAACUCAGACUUCCGGCUCCCUCCGGACGUUCGAGGGCCAGACGCCCGUCCCCUUUCGGAAAUGUGGAAUCUUGCACCAGAGAAGUUUGAGUCGAAUAACUCAGACUUCCGGCCUUCUCCGGACGUCCGGUCCUUGUUCAACUCCACAGUGGUUCCAGAUAUAUUUAUAGCCCUCGGACGACCGACCCCUGUCGGACGUCCGACUCCUUGUGGACGCCCGGACAUCCGUGAACUACCGGAUGUCUGACCCCUGUGUGACUUAAAGUGUCCCCAACGGCUGUUUUACUCUCCCCACUAUAUAUACCCCCUCCCACUUCGUGAGAGGGUGCCCAACACAACCAUAUCCUCAUAAGAACACAUUUCUACCUCACACACAUUUGCUUACAUCAAAUCUUAGAUCCCAAGAGCAUUUGUGAGCCCCUUUGAGAGUUGUUCCAAUCAAAAGAUAGAUCGUCUCCCUCUCCUUCUCUCAACCCAAGCUAUUUGAGAUUUGAGCAAGUUUUGAGCAUUCCACGUGAUCCUGUUACUCUUGGAGGUUGGAGACUCAUAGGCGGUAGGAGUUCUUCGGAGAGGAAUCAAUCCGUGUGAUUACCCCCCGGAAAAGUUUGUGAGUGUUUGGAAGCCACCUCAAAGGCUUACCACUAGUGGUUGGGAAACGCCUUCGUGGUGUUAUCGCAAAGGGAGAAUAGGGUGAGCCUUCGUGGAGUUGGUGUGCCUUCGUGGUAACAUCCACCUCUCUAACGGUGACUAGCUUCCCUCCAAGGAAGUGAACAUCGGGAUACAUCUUCGUCUCAGUGACCUUGGUUAUCCUUAACCCUAACUCCUUACUUACGGUUUACUUGUGUUACUUGAGCAUACAUACAUUGCAUAUUGUUUGUGCUCAUUAUAUUGUGUUGGCUAUUUCUUGUACAAGAUUAAUCGUUCAAGCAUACCCUCUAUAUCCACACAUUUACACUUGCUAGCUUUUGAUAUAUCGUGUGCUAUAGUGUGAUCUAGUAUCUUGUGUCGUUCACCUACUUGUCGGGUGAUAUAGAGUCAAGUAAGUUUGUGUAACUUGCUUGUGCUUGUUAGUAACUGUAUUGUGUCCAUCUUGGUAGAUCGUGUUGUUGAUACACGUUGCAGUGCCUAUUCCAUUUAGGAUUUGUGCUUGAAAAGUAUCCUCUUAGUUUAUUUCCGCACUAGGUUUAAGCCAAAUCCAAAGAAGUUUUUAAAUAGCCUAUUCACCCCCCCUCUAGGCGUCAUCGAGGUCUUUUCAAUUGGUAUCAGAGCAAGGUCUCUCUUUAAUUAGGUUUCACGACCUAGAGAGUAUCGAUGUCGACUAUUGGAUUAGUGCACAAUGACACCUUUGACUUUGAUGGCACAAAUUAUACCCUAUGGAGAAUUCGUAUGCUUCAUCACUUUCGGGCCAUGGGCCCAAAUACUUUACGAAUUGUUCUUGUAGGGAUUGCCGACAAAAAGGAUAAUGCAUCUUCAUCUACUAAUGAAAUGUAUCUUGAUUGUGAGGCUUUCCUUGCCAUUCAUCGAACCAUAAGUCCUGAAGUGUUUAAGUCUAUCUCAACUUGCAAGUCAGCUCAUGAAGUUUGGACUAAACUUGAAGAUAUAUAUGGUAGGUCCAAUCUUGAUGAAUACGAUAUUAUGAUGAAGGAGUUGGUGCCUGAGCUCUUCACUCUUUUCGAUCAUAAAGAGUCCACCACUACUUCCAUAUAUGAUUGCUUGGACACCUGAGCAUCUUCAAUCUCACAAGGUAAUGACAUGGUGAGUGAAGAAAUAUAUGUUGAUGAAAAUGUCAUAGCCUCUAUGAACACGAGCAUAUCUAGCACCACAUGUGGUGUAAAUUAUUGUGCUGAUAGGUCAUGCAUUUCACCUAAAGAUCCCUCGACAAAUGUCUCUGGUGAUAUGUCUGCUUUCCCGUGUCCUCUUGAUCAAAAUAUCUUGUUUCUCCCUAGUUGUUCUAUGACUAAUCAUUUAGGGGAAAUCAAGAAAUAUGAAGUACCUUUGACUAAUGAAGAAUCUGAUUCACCAAAAGAAUCAUCAUCAACGCCUCGAGUUCACAUGUGCCUCAUGGCAAGAGGUAAUAAUGAGGUAUCAUCUUCCCUGUGCAAUAACGAUGAUAUUUGCGAUGAGGAUGAUGAUGAUGACUUGACUGAAAAUAUCCAUGUGAUCAGUAAACAUCUUCAUAAAGCUAAAAAUAACGCUCUUCAAAGAUUCCAAGAUGUUCUUGCUUACUUUGAAAAUUGUAAUGAUUUACUUAAUCAUGAACAAGCUAAAAGUGAACAACUUGAACAUGAACUUGAGAAGAGUCAUCAAGCAUGUAGAGACUUAAGAUCUUCAAAAGGAGAGAUUGAAGUUGCUCAUGAUAAACUUAAAAAGGAUUUUGAGGUCCUUCUCCUUGAAUGCAAGAAUCUCAAGGGAGAGCUCAUCAAAACCUCUAAGAUCUAUGAGGAGCUUCAAUCUACUCAUGAGAAGUCUCUAAUCGCUACUUACUCCUCUCAUAUUGUUGAUGAUACUUGUACAUCUAACCCUAUCUCUUUUGAAGUAUCAACAUUGAAGGAGAAUGUUGAGCUACGUGCUCAACUUAAUUUACUAACUAGCGAUUAUGGGAAAUUGGAAGAAAACCAUGUAAUGCUCACAAGCUCUCAUGCCGAUCUUCUAACAUCCCAUAAUGUGCAAAAGUUAGCUCAUGAGGCUAUCAUCACCAAGGUAACAUCAAGUGAGCCUCAUGUGGACAAUGGCACCACUUCUAAUCAAAGUACUAUAUUUCCAUGUGCUAGUCCUCGUAAUUCGUCUACUCAUAAUGUUGCUACCUCAUGUGAUGAAUUACUUUCCUUGCCUUGUUGCUCUAACAAUGAAGCUUACACUUCCUCUAGUACUUGCAUUGACACUAACCGUGCAGAAAGACCCAAGGCCCAAGACACUUCUUUGAAGAAAGACUUGGAACAGUGUCAUGAAGGGAUGUCCACACUCAACAACGUCCUGCGUGAGCAAACAUCUCCGAAUGACAAACAUGAUGUUGGAGUAAACUCAAACAAGAACAAGAGUGGCCUAGAACGAGUUAAGAAUUCGGCCAAAAUCAUUUGCUUCAAGUGCAAAGCUAAAGGGCACCAUGUUAGAUCUUGCCCUCUGAAGACGAAGUCUCAAAGUCACAAGCAACAAGGGAAGCGGCCACAAACUCAAUCACACACUCAGCUACAAGUUGAAGGAAGGCCUCUUCCCAAUAAGACCCAAGCCAACACUCCCCGAGGUGAGAAAUGAACUGGGAAGAAAACAAAGGGUAGAUGUUGCUACUUAUAUCGUGAGAAGGGUCACGUCGCUUCGUCUUGCACGAGAGGUAACUUAUCCAACCCAAUCACUGUUGAUGAUAGCUAUUCCCUUGGGAAGAAUAAGGUUGGCAAUGUGUUUACCAAGUUUGUUGCAACUCAAAAUGGUGUCAAGAAAAGAACCAUUUGGGUUGCCAAGCCUAUUGUGACUAACCUCUUAGGACCCAACAUAGUUGGGGACCAACAAGCUCAAACUUGAUAAAUAGGUGACUUUGGAGGACAUUGGAGACUUGGAUACACAAUGAAGAUUUGAGGACUCUUCAUCAUUCGUAUCAUCUCAAGCCAAGUCACUUGGAUUAUCGAGCCCAUAUCCCAUAUCCAAUGUGGCUCUUUGCGGUGACUUGUACUUAAAUUGUUUACAUUGAAAGUUGCCUGCCCCACUCCUUCUCAUGUAUAGGUUUGGUACCUAGCAUGUACUUUGACAUGUUGCGCCUACUAGUAUGAUUGUUAUAUGUUAUCUAUCAUAUGUCGGUCGUUAUGUAUGUCAUAUAGUUGUGUGUAGUCCUGAUCAUUACUUGCAUCCUAGUUGCACCGUUGUGUGGGUCUUUUGAGAUGUUAAUAGCUCAUCACAUUAAGGGGGAGUGUUUCUGCUCUACGCACACCACUAACUCAAAAUGUGUAUGUAUGUAUUGGACUCCAUCUAGUAUUCGGUGCAAGAUUAUCCAAUCAAUUCGUUUGAUGUCAAAGCCAUCCGAAGUUCAAAUUGGCAUCCACUUAUCAGCUUAGUUGGAUGAUUGAUUGCCUUGUAUGAUAAAUACAUGGAUUAUCACAUUAUGGGAGUGUGAUAUGCUUUGUGCACGUCACAUCCUCUGGUAAGAUAAAACAUCCGAUGUAUGCCACUCAGCAUCUACCACAUGGGGUUAUUCUAUAACUUUGUGGUAUGUCAUGCUCCACAUAUCUUAAUUCGCAUAAUAACCCUGUUGGUGUCUAAAUCCCUUAGAUGUGCGUGAGUAUGGCGUCCUACUACAACAAUACUCAUGGCUUAGCCACUAGAUCGUAUCUAAAAGAAGGGCAUUGUUGAUGCAUGCUUUUCGAAUUAUUUCUCCACACUAUGAUCUAACUAAUUGGGAUGUUAACGUAUGACAUCUAAACAUUAUGCUUAUGGUUGAACUCCCAUAUCACACUUGUGUGAGUAUAAAACAAUAUUUGUGCUUGUUUGGCACCUACCACCACUGAUAAUUCUAAAUGCCAUUGUGUUCUCUUACACAUGGUAUCUCUGGCUUGGUAGUGUUUUCCAUGGUCAUUUUAUUUCGGCCUUGUCUUCAUUUGACCUGCUUAACUUGCCGAGAAAUUCAUGUCUCUCUCCCGGUAAUCUCCCAUGCAUGUCUUUGAGCUCGCACUAGUUAUUUCAUAAUGUUGUGGGAGUUAUAAUCAUAUUACCUACACUUAUACAUCUACUAGGGUGAGACAUGCAUGUAAGGUUGUGCAAAAUGCAUACCUUACAUGGUUUGAUGCCUUGACCAGUUCAUGUGUUGAACUUGGGGUGCUACCAUAUGUUUAUUUGUCACCCUGAUCCAUUUUGGACGACAUGAAUGUUCUGUAAUAGAAAAUAAUGUGUUCAUUUGUCCAAAUUGUAUAUCCUUGGAUUUUGAUAGGCUUGUGUAGGCAUAUCUACUAUGUGUAGAUGCACAUGCCAUGUCUAUUGUAUCUUUGAUCCAAUAUAUGUAUAUGGUAAAUCAAACGUAUCCAUUAAAAGGUUAAGGUGUGCUUGAAAGUAAAACUUAUAUCUAUAUGCACAUAAUUGAGUGAUCUUACCCUAUAUAUAUUGUAGUUGGACUAACUACUUCGGACCCAAUAAGUUUGGGGACCAUAUUGUGCUUAAUUGGUGACAGGACUCGGCUACUUCUACGCCAUACCAAUGCUUUUCCGGUAACAAGUAUUUACUUCAUGCAUGUAUAACAUUAGAGUCAACUGUGUAGGUUGCAUCAUGGCAUGAACAUAAUACUUUUUCCACUUUGUAAUUUCCUGCAUGUCCUUGUCAAUCACAUUGAUGAAAUGCUUAGUGUUGGUGUUCUCUUAGCACUUCAUGUUCAUAUGAAUGAGACAAAUUUGUGCCAUGACCCUUGUGUCAUGUGCCUUGCUCUUAUAAGAGGAUAACUUGUGCAUGAUUCUAUGCACUCGUCGUUUGACGGUAUUUUGGACCCACACUUAUCAUAGUAAUCAUAUUAAAAGAUUUACAUCAUACCAUGUCCAAAAUAUGUUAGUUGAGUGCCCCCCCUUGGUUGCUACACAUGCGAGAAUACUCAUCAUCCAAAUCCCAGAAAUUGCCUCUGCCUUCUCUCUCUUGGUCGUCCGACGGCUAAACUCAUUCCGGACGUCCGGCCACUGUCGAUCGUCCGACGGCUAAAUCCACUCCGGACGUCCGACGCGUGUCGGACGUCCGACACAUCGGGGGCCCUAUAAAUAGUAGGGCGCGGGCUGGGCCUUUCCCUAGCCUCCACGCGCCUCCUUUUUCUCCCAACCGCCGCCACCGCCAGCACCAGGGGAGCUCGCCCACGCCGCCACCUCCGGGAUUUGGCUGAUCUCCUCCGCGGGAUCCGAUCUCCUCCGCGGGAUCCGUCUCCCCUUCCUCUCCUCUCUCGAUCUGCAGGUAUCCCCUCCGUCCCUCUCGUGUUUGGAUUCCUUUUCUCCCAAGUUCACGUGUUCGUUCAUAUGGUUUGACCGUGACCGUUCCCCAUUGGGUUUCCAACCGUGUAGGCUUUUGUUCAUCAUGCCCAAGAUUAAGCACUCCGCCCGGAAGGACAGUGCUGGCUCAUCCGCUCGUGCCCCUACUGGCACGGGGUCGGACUCCGAAGGGCAACGUCGUCCCUUCAAACGGACUUCCCGGCAUCCUCCGCCUCAACAGCUCCCCUUGUUGUCUGAUGGCUCUGACUUCGAGGAUGAGCUUGCAGCUGAGGACCGUGCCGAACAGCCCACCGUUCGGAAGUCUAUGCCAAAGCCUGGGACUCGCAGGCCCUCCUAUAUGCCACCACCUCCUCCUGAACAACCCGAAGGUGAAGCUCGUCGCAUCUCACUUGAACCUCCUGCUACUUUAGGUCGUGAAGUCAAGAACUUCACCACGGUUGCUAAGUCUUCCUACCUCACUUUUCGCCGCGACGUUGAUCAAUUCUCUGUUGUACGUGACUCUAUGGACUCACGUUUCCGCACAAACAUCCAGGCGGACAUCUUUACUAUGGUCAUUGUUCCUAAGGGUCUCUCUGUCCAUCACUUUAUUGAUCUUGAGCAUAUUCGCACGCACCCGACGAAAUACCUGGGUGCCAUUGAGCUCAUUGAGUCAUCGGGGCUUGCUUCCCCCUUUGCUUUUCGGCGCGAUUUUAACGCUGCUGCUAUUCACCAAUUUUAUGCCACAUGUUUCCUUGGUCCAAACAACAUUGUUAGCUGGAUAACCUCUGACGUUCAGUUCACAGCCUCUUAUGAUGAGUUUGUUGCCGCACUUGGUUUCCCCAACUCCGGCUUCAAAAUCCAUAAGAAUGAUCCUAACCAUGCACAUAAGCCAAUUGAGGCGUGUGGGUAUCUCCUCAAACCACUCCGUGAACUUGAUGCAGACGAACAAAUGAAGGAUCCUAACCAAGUAUCCAUCUGGCGCUCUCCCUACUUUAUUAUCUUUCAGUGUCUUAUUCGCACCAUCUUUCCCAAGAUGGGUGAUAAGGGAUACUGCAAUGGCUACUAUAUUGACAUCAUGUCACAUUUGUACGAGCACCCCAAGAGCAAAAUUAAUGUGCCUCACUUUCUAUGGCAUGAGAUUCGGCUUGCUAGUUUUCAAUACAAGCUAGCCUUCCCUCAUGCCCCCUUCAUCCAGGCUUUUAUUAACCAUGUUGCUAAAUUCACUGUUGCUGUCACUCACACGCAUCACAAGUGGGGCAUUCCCGCUCACAUGGCAGAUAACUAUGCUCCCAAGAAAACCCCACCAUCCACCUCCACUCGCCGCACUGCGUCCCGGUCAGCAACCCCUUCAUCCAGCUCAGCUCCUCCCGGUCGCUUUGCCAAAUUCAUUGGCAAGGCACAUUCGUGCUAUGAUGAAGGCCUUCUCUUUCCAGUGCGGUCAAACUCAUGAUGUGGUUUCUCGCCUCGUCUCCUCCAAGAAUGCCCUCAAGACUCGUCUGAGAGACUCGGGCGCUCUUGAUGUGAGUGACGAUGAGGCCCUUCCUGCUCCUCCUCCUUCUGACUUUGGCUUCCCAUCUGGUCCUGAGUGGGAUGAUUUUCUUGAUGAGGCUGGUGGCAGUGGUUUGCCUGAGGAUGAGGAUGAGGAUGUUGAGGAUGAUGCAUGAUGAUGAUGAUAUUGAUGAGGGUGAUAUUUGAGUAUGUGGUAGCAUUGUCGGUUUCCCCUCCUUUUUGGUCCUUGAUGCCAAAGGGGGAGAACAUUAUCUUAUCUUAGUUUCGAUUUUAGUUUCUCUCAUAAUGUAUGGUACAAUGUAUGAUGUCGAACUUAAUGAUGUGUCAUCAUGUAACGAUAUUUAUGGAUGAUGUGCUAUGCCAUCACUUAUGGAUGAUGUAUUGUUGAACUAUCAUGUGGUGAUGAGAUAUCAUGAUAUUAUCGUUGUGUCAUAUGAUGAUGAGUUUUAUGCUAUCCUAUUGAUUCAUAUGAUAUGCUAUGUAUUGCUGAACUAUUAUGGUGUUAUAUCAUGCUAUUAUCUUCUUGCACACAUUAAGGGGGAGCUCCCGCACUUACCUAUUUUACUAUGCAUAUAAUAAGGGGGAGCUUCAUAAGCAUCAUAACAAAUCUCUCUUAAGCCGCACAUGUUUAUUACUAUUUUUGAGAGCUAUAUGUAUGUUGUCAUCAACUACCAAAAAGGGGGAGAUUGAAAGUGCAGUCAUGCCCUUAAUCGUGUUUUGGUGUUGCUGACAACACACAUAUAGAUAACUAAUCACUAAUCCCUUUUAAGCUAUUGUGAAUGAUCAUGUGUUGACAAGGACAAGCUCAUGUACUAACAAGGACAAGAUCAAGAUAAGCAUUCCUGAGCACUACAUGCUUGAUUCUUGUGGAUGUUCACAUGGUGGACAAAUGAAGAUGAAUACAUAAGCUAGGCUUUCCACAUUGUGUAUGAGAGAGUUACUUGAAGACUUCAUCAUGUCUUGCUUUCAACUUGAGCCAAGAAGGAACAACAACAUCAAGCUCAAAUGAAAGGGCUAACUCAAAGGCAUGAGUCCCUUUGACGUUAGUGGUGCGGAGUGAUGAUCAGCGAAUAAAAGUAUACACUCAAGUAUGGAUCAUCGGUACCCCUUUUAUAAUUCUUGAAUCUUUAGGGAUCCCGCACUAUUAAGAGGGGAUCACAGGUUUUGUGAUGAACUUGCUCAAACUAGAUAUCCACUGUUCUGCUCAUACCACAUCUCCACUGCUCUGCUGUUAUCAGAAAACAGGACCAGUGCCUCGGUCAUCCGGCCUCCUCCGGACGUCCGAGGGUCGGACGUCCGACCUGCUUAGGAAAUCCGGAAUCCUCUACGAGAGAAAUCAGAGCCAUAUAACUCGGACUUCCGGCUCCCUCCGGACGUCCGAGGGCCGUUCGUCCGACCAGCUUCGGAAAUCCGGAGCUUUGCACCAGAAGAACUUGAGCCAUAUAACUCGGACUUCCGGCUCCCUCCGGACGUCCGAGGGCCGGACGUCCGUCCCCUUUCGGAAAUCCGGAAUCUUGCACCACAGAAGUUUGAGUCGAAUAACUAGGACUUCCGGCCUUCUCCGGACGUCCGGUCCCUGUUCAACUCCACAGUGGUUCGAGCUAUAUUUACAGCCCUCGGACGUCCGACCCCUUGUGGACGCCCGGACAUCUGUGAACUGCCGGAUGUCCUAUCCCCUGUGUGCCUUGAAGUGUCCCCAACGGCUGUUUUACUCUCCCCACUAUAUAUACCCCCUCCCACUUCGUGAGAGGGUGCCCAACACAGCCAUAUCCUCAUAAGAACACAUUUCUACCUCACACACAUUUGCUUACAUCAAAUCUUAGAUCCCAAGAGCAUUUGUGAGCCCCUUUGAGAGUUGUUCCAAUCAAAAGAUAGAUCGUCUCCCUCUCCUUCUCUCAACCCAAGAAAUUUGAGAUUUGAGCAAGUUUUGAGCAUUCCCCGUGAUCUUGUUACUCUUGGAGGUUGGAGACUCCUAGGCAGUAGGAGUUCUUCGGAGAGUAAUCAAUCCGUGUGAUUACCCCCCGGAAAAGUUUGUGAGGGUUUGGAAGCCACCUCAAAGGCUUACCACUAGUGGUUGGGAAACGCAUUCGUGGUGUUAUCUCAAAGGGAGAAUAGGGUGAGCCUUCGUGGCGUUGGUGUGCCUUCGUGGUAACAUCCACCUCUCUAACGGUGACUAGCUUCCCUCCAAGGAAGUGAACAUCGGGAUACAUCUUCGUCUCAGUGACCUUGGUUAUCCUUAACCCUAACUCCUUACUUGUGGUUUACUUGUGUUACUUGAGCAUACAUACAUUGCAUAUUGUUUGUGCUCAUUAUAUUGUGUUGGCUAUUUCUUGUACAAGAUUAAUCGUUCAAGCAUANNNNNNNNNNNNNNNNNNNNNNNNNNNNNNNNNNNNNNNNNNNNNNNNNNNNNNNNNNNNNNNNNNNNNNNNNNNNNNNNNNNNNNNNNNNNNNNNNNNNGGUUUAAAUUAGGUUUAUUUAGGUUUUAUUUACGUAAUUAUUAGGGGGAGGUUAAUAAUUGUCUAUUGUGACAUUAAUUAACUAAACUAAGUAAAAUAGUGUUACGAAUUUUGUACGUAUUGUCCACUUAGUGUUGUAUAAUGUAAAUUAUUCUUGUUCCUAGGUAGGCAUGUUAGCUCUUACAAGUGUCAUUUGCUUGCGUUUUAUGGGUAAAUAUGAUCUUGGAUAUAUUUAUUGAUCUACCAAUGAGUAUCAUUUCAAAAAUACUUCUUUUCCUUGACAAUUGGUAUUCCCAUCAUAUGAUUGGAAUUGAUAAUCAUCUUUACAUUGGAUUUUGUGUUUCGUUUGUCUUUCUUGCCUCUUAUGAAUCUAUUUUUAACAUGUCUAGUGUGGUUAUAGAUAUAGAGAAAGUGAUGAUCCCAUCGUGUGCGUUUUGUAUUCAAAUGCAAAUUCUAUAUAAUGCACGUCCCUUGGGGGAGCUAUCCUAUUCCCUUUAAAAAAACACUCUCUUUAUUCACCCAUCAUAAAAUCAUUUGAUCCCCAUCAAGUGUGUGUUGAUGGGAGGCAAGUCUUGCUCUUUAUGAUGCUUUGUGCCAUCAUGAAAAUUUGUAGAGGGCUUUGUUUGUUGGAACCUAGCUCUCUCUUAGAAACUAGAUACCUCUAUUUGUUUUCCUUCAAAUUGGUUUCUUGUUGCCUUCUAUUUGGCAUGUGUCAAUGGAUAUCUCAUUCCUUGAUGUAUCUUUUAAUUUAUAUCUUUCAAGUGAUAGUUCUUUUGUUUUAGGAUCUUAUUAUCACUUUAUAUCUUGUCUUUUGAUGACUUAUCAACUUUGUGUUGAGUUGAUUCUUGAGAGUCUUGAGCAUGCAUAUCUAGCUACUAUAUACAACUUCUUUUGCUUGCUUUCCUCCUUUGACCCAAUAUAUAAGGGAAACUCCACCCUGUCAUAAAUUGGCUAAAGUGUGCAUGAAAUUCAAAUUCAUAUCUAUAUGCACAUAUGUGUGUGGAGUUUGUCCUAUGUAUUGCUGGUUUUCUAACUCUUUGGUCCCAAUGAGUUUGGGCACCAUUUUGUUUGUUUUGUUGUUCCAGGAACAACUGGAGAUGCAUUGGAUGCUCGGCUUACCUAUAAGGAAGAUGUUGAGACCAUGUGAUUAUUGGAGCCAAGUUAGGAUGAUCAAAGAACAACUAUCUACUACAUCAAUCCAAUGUUGUCUCUGUAACAAGUAUCCACUUCAUGCAUUCUUUUCUUGCAAAGGACCCAACCUGUCUUUUUUUUCAGGUUGCAUCAUGGCAUGAAUCUCUUGAUUUGUUCUCGUAGUACUUGUUUGCUUUCUCAAAGCAUCCGAACGAUGAUGUCUUACUGCUAGUUGGGAUGUCUUUGAAGUUCGUAUGUUGGAAGUUCAUAUUAUACAAUAAGAAAAUAUUAGGCCAUGUGCUAUGCUUCCAAGCAAAAGAUCUCAUUGAUAUAUUUAUGACUUUCCUUUUUUGGAUAUCUAGUGUUCUUCCUUCUUGUAACCAUUUCGUGUGUACAUCCUUCUUUGUGGAUAUAUAUAUCAUCAUGAUUGUCUUCUACUUAGAAUCUUGGUCACAUGAGACAAGUUACAUCUCUAAUUGAUAUCCUCUUUUCUUUCACGUCCAUCGCUGCAUUUCCUUUUUCGGUUUUGGUGGCAACGUGAAAGGAUUUGUUUUGAGUGCGUAUCUUAUUUUCCUACAUCUUGGUGCACUCUUUGGCCGUGAAGAUUAUUUUUCCUCAUGCUUGUCUUGAUGAGGGUUUUGCCAUUUUCAAUUAGUAUCCCUCCUCUUGACAAGAUUCUUACUUCCUAUCUUCACAAUGGGUUGUCACAAGCGUUGGUUCUUAUUUUGUUUAUUAGUAAGCUUGUGAACCCAUUUUCUAGUGUGUGUGUGUGGGAAUGAUAUGUCUUGCACUUUGUAUCUCAUAUUCAUCAAGACUAUGUUAAUGAGCAAUGCUCAUCCUUAUCUUAAGUCUUCUAAAGUGCUUUGCCAUGACUCACACACAUUACUUUGGUUGAGCUUAUUCUUAAGUUGCUUCCUUUACAUGUUGCUCAACCAUUAGUUUUGUGCAAUUGAUAUGCCUAUUGCCUCAUCUAUCUUCUUGCACUCGUUGUGUGUUUCUAUUAAUUCUGGGGGAGCAACGAUCCUAUUUUGUGAACCUGUGUCAAAUACAAAAAUCUCAUAUUAGUGCACAAAUCAUGGGGAGCUUCUCUAGUUUUUGAUAAAGCACUAUGUUGCCUUUAUCAUAAUAUCUUUUAUUCAUGUGGUUCGAAGGACCAUAUGAUUGUUUGUUCCAUCUGGGAUCUUUUGAUUGCUUGCCUCUAUCUUUGUAUGUCUUUGUGGCAUACGAUUCUUUUUGCAAUCUUUGGGUCCUUAAUAUAGUUUAUUGUCCUCCAACUACUUAUCAUUGUAUUUGUGUAUUUUUCUGCACUCUUUUGCUGAGAAGUACACACUUUUUGGAGGACCACCUACUAUAUUUGCUUUCUAAACUUUUCGUCCAUUUUGGCAAUCGAUGCCAAUGGGGGAGAAGUUUAGAGAGUUUACUUUGGAUAUGUUUAGAGGGUUUUGCUUUUAUUGCGUAAGCAUUUACAUCUUGAUCACAUGCACUAUUACCUUGUAUGUGUGCGUUUGGUUAUGCUUAUUUCAUUAUAUAAACUCUCUUGAAGUGGUUGUCUUCAAUUACCAAAAUGGGGGAGAUUGAUAGAGCAUAAUAUAUCUCCAUAUGUGGUUUUGGUAAUUGAUGACAAUCCCUAUGGACUAAUGGUUGCCUUAAGUUAUAUUUAUAGGAUUUGUCCAUAGGCACUUCUUGAAGUCCAUCUGUUGGGUUCAAGGAGUUUAUAUGUUGACCAAGAUGUUAUUCAAGGUAUUAUCCAAAGAAUGGUCAUAGAAACACUAGGUUGAUCAAGAUCUCAGACUAAGAGCAAAUCAAGAUGAUCAACACACAAAGCGUAUAAGAUGUACCGAGAGGGAUCAAGUGAUCCCAUGGUAUGGUAAGCAUUGUCCAUUACGUGUUUGUGUACUAACCCAUGGUCUUUGUGAGACUCCUAUGUAGGGGUUAGGUGUGUUUCCAUUGGGCUUGCGUCAAAAGGAAGAUCUCAUACAACCCAUGAAGGAUGACGUCAAGUGGUGAUCGUCAUCAAGAUUGUGGUGUGCAAGUUCAAGUGGAUCAACACAAAUAUAUCAUUGAAACUAUUGUCAAUGAUCAUGUGUUGAUAAGGACAAUCUCAUGUGCUAACAAGGACAAGAUCAAGAUAAGCAUUCCUGAGCACUACAUGCUUGAUUCUUGUGGAUGUUCACAUGGUGGACAGGACAAGAUCAAGAUAAGCAUUCUUGAACACUACAUGCUUGAUUCCUGUGGAUGUUCACAUGGUGGACAAAUGAAGAUAAAUACAUAAGCUAGGCUUUCCACAUUGUGUAUGGGAAAGCUACUUGAAGACUUCAUCAUGUCCUGCUUUCAACUUGAGCCAAGAAGGAACAACAACAUCAAGCUCAAGUGAAAGGGCUAACUCAAAGAUAUCAGUUCCUUUGACGUUAGUUGUGCGGAGUGAUGAUCAGCGAAUAAAAGUAUACACUCAAGUAUGGAUCAUCAGUACUCUUUUAUGAUUCUUGAGUCCUUAGGGAUCCCGCACUAUUAAGAGGGGAUCACAGGUUUUGCGAUAAACUUGCUCAAACUACAUCAUCACUUUCUGCUCAGACCACAUCUCCACUGUUUUGUUGUUAUCUUAAAACAAAACCAGUGCCUCGGACAUCCGGCUUUCUCCGGACGUCCGAGGACCGGACGACUCACUAGUUCGGAAAUCCGGAAUCCUAUAGUAGAGAAAUCAGAGCCAUAUAACUCGGACUUCCGGCUACCUCCGGACGUGCGAGGCCCGGAUGUCUGGCCAAGUUCCGGAAAUCCGGAAGCCUGCACCAGUAGAAGUUGUGUUCUAUAUCUCGGAAAUUCGGCUCCCUCCGGACGACCGAGCGCCGGACGUCCGACACCCGUCGGAAAUCCGAAACCUACCACCAGUAGAAGUUGAGUUCUAUAUCUCGGAAAUCCGGCUCCCUCCGGACGACCGAGCGCCGGACGUCCGACACUCGUCGGAAAUCCGGAACCUACCACCAGUAGAUGUUGAGCUGUAUAACACGGACUUCCGGGCCACUCCGGACGUCCGUAUGCUGAUGAAUUCAAAUAUGUUCAGGCACAUCUACAGGCCUCGGACGACCGACCCCCGUCGGACGUCCGGCCGCUGAUGAAUUCAGAAGAGUUCCAGUCAUGCCUAAAAGUCUCAGACGUCCGACCCCUGUGGGACGUCCGGCCCCUCACGGACGCCCGGACUUCCGACAACUGUCGGACGUCCGGACCCUGUGUGACUUAAAGUGUCCCCAACGGCUCUUUUUCUCUCAACACUAUAAAUACCCCCUCCCACUUCGUGAGAGGGCGGCCCAACACAUCCUUAUCCUCAUAAGAACACACUUCCACCUCACACACAUUUGCUCACUCCAAAUCUUAGAUACUAAGAGCAUUUGUGAGCCCCUUUGAGAGUUGUUCCAAUCAAAAGAUAGAUCUUCUCCCUCUCCUUCUCUCAACCCAAGCUAUUUGUGAUUUGAGCAAGUUUUGAGCAUUCCCCGUGAUCUUGUUACUCUUGGAGGUUGGAGACUCCUAGGCGGUAGGAGUUCUUUGGAGAGUAAUCAAUCCAUGUGAUUUCCCCCAGAAAAGUUUGUGAGGGUUUGGAAGCCACCUCAAAGGCUUACCACUAGUGGUUGAGAAACACCUUCGUGGUGUUAUCUCAAAGGGAGAAUAGGGUGAGCCUUCGUGGCAUUGGUGUGCCUUCGUGGUAACAUCCACCUCUCUAACGGUGAGUAGCUUCCCUCCAAGGAAGUGAACAUCGGGAUACAUCUUCGUCUCAGUGACCUUGGUUAUCCUUAACCCUAACUCCUUACUUGUGGUUUACUUGUGUUAUUUGAGCAUACAUACAUUGCAUAUUGCUUGUGCUCAUUAUAUUGUGUUGGCCAUUUCUUGUACAAGAUUAAUCAUUCAAGCAUACCCUCUAUAUCCACACGUUCAUACUUGCAUACCUUGAUAUAUCGUGUUGAUAUAGUGUGAUCUAGUAUCUUGUGUUGUUCACCUACUUGUCGUGUGAUACAGCUCAAGUAAGUUUGUGUAACUUACUUGUGCUUGUUAGUAACUGUAUUGUGUCCAUCUUGGUAGAUCGUGUUGUUGAUACACGUUGCAGUGCCUAGUGCAUUUAGGAUUUGUGCUUGACAAGUACCCUCUUAGUUGAUUUCCGCAUUAGGUUCAAGCCAAAUCUGAAAAAGCUUUUAAAUAGCCUAUUCACCCCCCUCUAGGCGUCAUCGAGGUCUUUUCACCAGCGCGGUGGGAGGUCCGCCGGGUGAGGUGUGGCGAGAUGAGGCAUUGCACCCGGUCGGCGAAUAAGGGCCGCAGUGGGCGCUGCGCCGGGCGACGCUGUGGGCGACUCCGCAUGGGUGCCCGGAGGAAGGGGCGACUGCUCCUCGUGCAUCCGCAUGGCGGCUCUCCUGCAUGUAGUGGAGGUGGAGGCCACCGGGGACCGAUAUGGGGGACACGACGGGCGGCGACGACGACAGAGAUGGGGGGACACGGGCGGGCGGCGGACGGGGGAGGGGAAGGAGGGAGGCGGACGGCGGAGGGGGGAGGAGGGAGGGCGGGACGGGGAGGGGGAGGAGGGAGGCGGGACGGGGRRGGGGAGGUUGGGACGGCGGGAGGCGGACGGCGGAAGGUGGCGAGGCCAGGGCGACUGGCUCCCGGUUAAUUCUUCCUAAAUUUAUGUACUUGAUUGGCUCCUUUUUUCGUGGAGGUGCAACAGUUUUUUGCUUGUAGGAGGAGGUGGAGCACGGUCAGCCAGUCUACGCGUNNNNNNNNNNNNNNNNNNNNNNNNNNNNNNNNNNNNNNNNNNNNNNNNNNNNNNNNNNNNNNNNNNNNNNNNNNNNNNNNNNNNNNNNNNNNNNNNNNNNAGUAAGGAGUUAGGGUUAAGGAUAACCAAGGUCACUGAGACGAAGAUGUAUCCCGAUGUUCACUUCCUUGGAGGGAAGCUACUCACCGUUAGAGAGGUGGAUGUUACCACGAAGGCACACCAAUGCCACGAAGGCUCACCCUAUUCUCCCUUUGAGAUAACACCACGAAGGUGUUUCUCAACCACUAGUGGUAAGCCUUUGAGGUGGCUUCCAAACCCUCACAAACUUUUCUGGGGGAAAUCACAUGGAUUGAUUACUCUCCAAAGAACUCCUACCGCCUAGGAGUCUCCAACCUCCAAGAGUAACAAGAUCACGGGGAAUGCUCAAAACUUGCUCAAAUCACAAAUAGCUUGGGUUGAGAGAAGGAGAGGGAGAAGAUCUAUCUUUUGAUUGGAACAACUCUCAAAGGGGCUCACAAAUGCUCUUGGGAUCUAAGAUUUGGAGUGAGCAAAUGUGUGUGAGGUGGAAGUGUGUUCUUAUGAGGAUAAGGCUGUGUUGGGCCGCCCUCUCACGAAGUGGGAGGGGGUAUUUAUAGUGUUGAGAGAAAAAGAGCCGUUGGGGACACUUUAAGUCCCACAGGGUCCGGACGUCCGACAGUUGUCGGAAGUCCGGGCGUCCGUGAGGGGCCGGACGUCCCACAGGGGUCGGACGUCCGAGACUUUUAGGCAUGACUGGAACUCUUCUGAAUUCAUCAGCGGCCGGACGUCCGACGGGGGUCGGUCGUCCGAGGCCUGUAGAUGUGCCUGAACAUAUUUGAAUUCAUCAGCAUACGGACGUCCGGAGUGGCCCGGAAGUCCGUGUUAUACAGCUCAACAUCUACUGGUGGUAGGUUCCGGAUUUCCGACGGGUGUCGGACGUCUGGCGCUCGGUCGUCCGGAGGGAGCCGGAUUUCCGAGAUAUAGAACUCAACUUCUACUGGUGGUAGGUUCCGGAUUUCCGACGGGUGUCGGACGUCCGGCGCUCGGUCGUCCGGAGGGAGCCGGAUUUCCGAGAUAUAGAACUCAACUUCUACUGGUGCAGGCUUCCGGAUUUCCGGGACUUGGACGGACAUCCGGGCCUCGGACGUCCGGAGGUAGCCGGAAGUCCGAGUUAUAUGGCUCUGAUUUCUCUAGUAUAGGAUUCCGGAUUUCCGAACUAGUCAGUCGUCCGGUCCUCGGAUGUCCGGAGAAAGCCGGAUGUCCGAGACACUGGUUCUGUUUUAAGAUAACAACAAAACAGUGGAGAUGUGGUCUGAGCAGAAAGUGAUGAUGUAGUUUGAGCAAGUUUAUCGCAAAACCUGUGAUCCCCUCUUAAUAGUGCGGGAUCCCUAAGGACUCAAGAAUCAUAAAAGAGUACUGAUGAUCCAUACUUGAGUGUAUACUUUAUUCGCUGAUCAUCACUCCGCACAACUAACGUCAAAGGAACUGAUACCUUUGAGUUAGCCCUUUCACUUGAGCUUGAUGUUGUUGUUCCUUCUUGGCUCAAGUUGAAAGCAGGACAUGAUGAAGUCUUCAAGUAGCUUUCCCAUACACAAUGUGGAAAGCCUAGCUUAUGUAUUUAUCUUCAUUUGUCCAUCAUGUGAACAUCCACAGGAAUCAAGCAUGUAGUGCUCAAGAAUGCUUAUCUUGAUCUUGUCAUGUCCACCAUGUGAACAUCCACAAGAAUCAAGCAUGUAGUGCUCAGGAAUGCUUAUCUUGAUCUUGUCCUUGUUAGCACAUGAGAUUGUCCUUAUCAACACAUGAUCAUUGACAAUAGUUUCAAUGAUAUAUUCGUGCUGAUCCACUUGAACUUGCACACCACAAUCUUGAUGACGAUCACCACUUGACGUCAUCCUUCAUGGGUUGUAUGAGAUCUUCCUUUUGACGCAAGCCCAAUGGAAACACACCUAACCCCUACAUAGGAGUCUCACAAAGACCAUGGGUUAGUACACAAACACGUAAUGGACAAUGCUUACCAUACCAUGGGAUCACUUGAUCCCUCUCGGUACAUCUUAUACGCUUUGUGUGUUGAUCAUCUUGAUUUGCUCUUAGUCUGAGAUCUUGAUCAACCUAGUGUUUCUAUGACCAUUCUUUGGAUAAUACCUUGAAUAACAUCUUGGUCAACAUAUAAACUCCUUAGAACCCAACAGAUGGACUNNNNNNNNNNNNNNNNNNNNNNNNNNNNNNNNNNNNNNNNNNNNNNNNNNNNNNNNNNNNNNNNNNNNNNNNNNNNNNNNNNNNNNNNNNNNNNNNNNNNCCUUUUCCCUCCUUCCCUCCCCCUCCUCCCCCACCCCCGACCGACCACCCCUCGCCCCCGUCCCCACCUCGACCCGACGCCUCCACUGCUSGCCCUCGGCGACUCGACCGGCCGCCGCCCACCCGUCCGACUCGGCCCACCACGACCUCCUCACCUCUUUCCCGCACGGCUUCCUUGAGCCUUCUCGGCGCACACCGACAACGGGAGACGAGCUCCCCUCGUUUCCCCUCCCUCCCCUCCCCUCCCCUCCCCUCCUGCACUACCCCCAUACCCCGCCGAUCGCGCCCUGGCCUCGCCCGUGCUGCCCCUUGCGCUUCGCUCGGCCGUUGUUGCUGCCGCACACAACUACGCCCGUGCACGUGCUCACAGUUAACUCCAGCCACGACCCGUGCUUCGCCCUCGCCGAUGACGCCCCGUUGUCCCCCUCCGGCCACGUCCAUGGCUCGGAUGGCCUCGCCCCCCGGUCGGCCCCCUUGUCAUAGUGUAAAUUGGGGCUACCCCCCCCCCCAAUUAGGGCCGCACCAAAAUGACAAAAGGGGCCCACCCCCGUACACAAAUUAAAAUAGAAAAAUUAAAUAAGUAAAAUGAAAAUAAUAAAAAUAGCCAAUUAAUUAAUUAAUUAAUAAUUUAAUUAGAUAACUUAAUUAAAUUAAACCUAAUAUAUUAAUAAAUAAAAAUAAUUGGUUAAUUAAAUAAUUUAUUAGUUAAUCAAUGAGUUAGGUAGCUAACUAAAUUAAUAUAAAUCUAAUUAGUCUAACUAAUUCUAUUAAUUAGUUAAUAGAGUACUAGCAAAAGGGCCCGUGCGUUGCAACGGGAGAAAAAAAUACCACACGCUUUUAAUCUUUUUAUAAUCAUUUUGAUUUAUUAAAAUAAUAAGCUAACUAACUAAUGUAGUCAGUCCUAUCCUAUUUUGUUGAGAAAUCAACCCGUCCAUUGUUAAUUCCACCAUGAUGAGAAAUUGAGCGGGACAAGCAAAGCAAAACAAAGAGGCUACAUGAAUUGAUCAAUGGACUGUUAUCUUAUUUCACUCAUGGGGUAGAGAAUGUGGGAUCAGAUGACAAAAUGAAGGUGGUGUUUCAUUCUCUGUCUCUACAACAAUACAAUCUUAUAUUCAAUACAUUCAUUCAUCAGCAAACAAAUCCCCACAAAAUAAAAUUUCUUGCCGGCGCUUGGCACACAGUUGGAGGCAUGGGGAGGGGAUCUCACCAGAUGAUGAGUUCCUGCCGGAGGAGGGGAUACGAUAAGGGGAGCAAGGGUUAGGCGCCUCUAUCUGGCCAUAAGGAGUCGCCGUUGCCGCACCAUAACCAAGGAGUUCCCCGUGUGAGCCAUGGAGGCCCGCCUCCACCUUAGAGUACUUCGCUCCGCCGCGCCUUAUCUGCGCGCCGCCGCCAUUCUGCAUCGAGCAGACGCAUCAUCCCCAGUCACUGUAGCUGUCACGUUGGUUUGAUCCAGAAGCUGUGCUCGAGCGCCGAAACGGGGGCAGCAAGCGGGCAGAGGUACAGUCGCGGAGGCGGGUGGGUUGAGAUCGACAACAGUGGUGGUUGAGGUCGGCCGCGGCGGCGAGUGGUGUGCCAGCGGCCUGAGCACGGGCCAGGGUCGGACCGAGGGUCGACGGCGGAUGCGCUCGAGCGCCGUCUAACGGGGGCAGUGAGUCGGGGUAGAGGUACGGCCGCGGAAGGCGGGUGGGUUUAGAUCGGCAGCGGUAGGACGGUUAGAGGUCGGCCGUGGUCGGUCGAGUGGUGGUGGGUCGGCGGCCUGGGCACAGGCCUAGGGUUGGYCCYAGGGUCGACGGGAGGAGGCGAGUGCGUACGAGUAUAAUUUUUAGACUAAGACGUAAAUUACGUUUUUUUACCUUUAGUACGNNNNNNNNNNNNNNNNNNNNNNNNNNNNNNNNNNNNNNNNNNNNNNNNNNNNNNNNNNNNNNNNNNNNNNNNNNNNNNNNNNNNNNNNNNNNNNNNNNNNUCAUAUUGAACAGAAUGCUAACCUCCCCAUAGAUGCAUCACGAACCUGAGCCUCUGAAUCUUUGAUUGUACUGCAAGACAAAUAACAUAAUGCCAAUGAGGUUAGCAUUUGAGCCACCUCUUACCAAACAAGGAGGCAGAGAUAACUGGGGUUGCAGAUUUUUUCGCUGAUACUGACAACCCAAAAGUUGCAGAGGAGGCGGGGUUGUCCAGCUGAUAGAGCAUAAUAUAUCUCCAUAUGUGGUUUUGGUAAUUGAUGACAAUCCCUAUGGACUAAUGGUUGCCUUAAGUUAUAUUUAUAGGAUUUCUCCAUAGGCACUUCUUGAAGUCCAUCUGUUGGGUUCAAGGAGUUUAUAUGUUGACCAAGAUGUUAUUCAAGGUAUUAUCCAAAGAAUGGUCAUAGAAACACUAGGUUGAUCAAGAUCUCAGACUAAGAGCAAAUCAAGAUGAUCAACACACAAAGCGUAUAAGAUGUACCGAGAGGGAUCAAGUGAUCCCAUGGUAUGGUAAGCAUUGUCCAUUACGUGUUUGUGUACUAACCCAUGGUCUUUGUGAGACUCCUAUGUAGGGGUUAGGUGUGUUUCCAUUGGGCUUGCGUCAAAAAGGAAGAUCUCAUACAACCCAUGAAGGAUGACGUCAAGUGGUGAUCGUCAUCAAGAUUGUGGUGUGCAAGUUCAAGUGGAUCAACACAGUCUACGCGUNNNNNNNNNNNNNNNNNNNNNNNNNNNNNNNNNNNNNNNNNNNNNNNNNNNNNNNNNNNNNNNNNNNNNNNNNNNNNNNNNNNNNNNNNNNNNNNNNNNNCGUACGCCGGCCGCCUGACCCACUCGGCGCGCCCCACGUGGCCCAGUCCUUAUCCACCACGUACACCGUGUCCCCGUCGACCGUCGGCUCCCACGCCUUUCCGCGCCCCCCUCCGCCCCCAACCUCUCCUUCCCCCUCCCCCUCGCCCCCGCCUCUCCUCUCCCUCUCCCUCUACCCUCUCCCGCCCCCAACCACCACCCAUCUCCCCUCUCCCGUCUCACCGACGCACCUCCACCUCCCCGGAAUUGAACCACCGUGCCGGCCCGCCCGAUCCGCGACAGCCAGCCCGCCGCCCGGAGCAAGGAGGACCGUCCUUCCAGGUGAGAGAUCGACUCUCCCCCCGCCCCCACCAAGUCCAAAUCCGCGCGCAAUGCUCGCCCAAUUCCGCCCCUCGCGCGCGCUCGUCGUCGUCGUCGUUGCGAAUGCUUCCUGCGACGGGAGGGAAUUCCCCGAGCGCCCGCCCGUCCGUGCUCGACGGGCGAGCUCGCGCGCGUGCGGGCGGGCGGUACGCGCCUCGCCGGGAAUUGGCGUGGUCUGGGGCUCUGGGCUCCCCUCCCCGCGCCGCCGUUGUUCCGCUCCGUUUUUGCUAGGAGAGUCCCGUGCGUGGGUGGGAGUGGUCGAAUUGCGUUGCGUGCGGCCCGACGCUCGCCGCGGUUUCGGUGUCGGAGGCCCGUGCUCUCCGGUGAUGGCAGAUACUAUUAGUAGUACUAGUUAGCAUUUUUUUUCCCGACAAAAAAAAAAAUAGUUAGUAUUAGUAGCAUUUUAAUAGAGUAUGUAUGUAUACAGGCAAGGGCCGCCGGCCGUUCGAGAUUGGUUGGGGGAAUCAACCUGCUGCGUUAGUAUUAGGCUGUGCGGUUGCAAGCAGACCCGACAGUGCUGCUGCUUCUUCUCUGGGUUGUUCCGUGCGCGCUUGAAACUGGGGGAGUGGUCUCAUCUCAUCUUGCGUAUGAGUUCAGCGAUUGAACUGAUCGAUCUGGCGUCGACUCGGAGCAUUCUUUGAUGCAAUUCGUGCUUGGUCUUUAGUCAAAGUUAGAGAGGGUACUGUUUCGCCAGGCACCUCUGACCGAUUUCCAGACAGAGGAAACUACUUCAGUCUGGUCUGCUGAUGGUUUUGGCAGUUUGCACUUCGUUGUGAGCUUCCCAGCAUCAAAGUCCUGGAACGCCAUGGUGUCUGUUUUCAGGGUGCACCCUCUACUUCUGUGUGAAAGGUAUUGCAUCGUACGGAAGGCUGUACAUCAUACAUGAGAUUUAAGUGUUCUCUUUUCCCGAAGAAACAGUCUGGUUGGUUGGUUGGUUCUGCUGCACCGUGAAAAUUUUGUUGGCAGUGCGACCGUAUGCGUCAGAACUCACUUUUGAUGAAACCUGCAUAUUGCAAGGUAGAUGCGCUACAGAUUUAUUGUUCGCGGUGCUACGGAAUCUCUCACCUACACUACGCCUGGACCCAUUGAAAACUAGCACUUGUGAAAGCUUAGCUCACCUGUACUUUAGUUCGGUAAAUUAUUAUACUGCAUGUUGAUACAGUAUUGAAUUCUACAUGGCAGACAAGGCAGGUGUUCAGUGAAGGCAUGGCGCAUGAUGAAGCUGUGUCUGCGCAGAAGACUGGAAAAUCAGGUUCACCUCCUAAGGUAAGAAUCGCUGAUUUACAAGUACCCGCGGACCACUGAGAUAUUGCCUUCAAAGACAGGAGACUCUAAUUUAAUAGAACUUCCUGACUACUGAGAAAUUGCCCGACCUUCUAUGGCAUGAGCUUUCUGGAAAUUACUUGUAUGAUUUAUUGAAAUUCAUUGCCAAAAUAAAUAUCUAUGUACACAAUUUUAAAAAUUCCGUGAAUGCAGCAAAGAACACCACUGGUAUUACUGGCCUUCAAAAAUUAAUAUGCAGUGUCCCUAGUCUAUCAAUACAACUCACUGCAAAAAAGAAUGAGGGGAAAGUACUCGGGAAAUUUCAAAUAUGACAAAUGUCUUAUGGAUCACCAUCAUUUGCAGGAUCAACCAGCUCCCUGUCCAUAUCCUGAUUGGUCGGCCAUGCAGGUUGAGUGUUUUGCUGUUCUCUUACUGUCCCUACUUCCCAAGGACUGUAUAACACGGUAAUUUAAGCAAUAACAUCAAACCUUUACAGGCAUACUACGGUUCUGGUGUCAUGCCACCGGCAUAUUUUGCUCCAGCCAUAGCUGCAGGUCAUCCACCUCCGCCAUAUAUGUGGGGUCCUCAGGUAUUUUGUUUUUUUAUCUCUCUGUACAGUGGUGUUUCUUCAUGCACUGUAUAUUGAAUCUAAGCCCCUUCUCUUCCUCCCUGCAGCAUAUGAUGCCACCUCCUUUUGGAACGCCAUAUGCUAUGUACUCACAUGGUGGAGCUUACCCGCACCCGCUUGUGCCCAUGGUAAACAUCGGAUUCCCUGAGCUUCUUUGCACUUUGUUUAGAUAAAACUCAAUGUUUGAAGCUUUAAACAUUUAUGCACCAUGAGUUUCUUGGUGUUUGAAGCCUUACACAUUUUGUGAAAAAGAAAACAAAGGUAGAUGUUUGUUAUCAUCAUCUUGUCUUGUGUUAAUUUUUAUGCUAGAUAGUAGUAUUGUAGUUUGAAAAACACAAGGAUAGUUGAGUUCCAUUAUGCUCACCACAAGUCUUGAUUAAAAAAUGUUACAGCACACCGCAAUUUCGGAACAACUGAUUAUGUCUGUCUAAACAAUCAAAUGUUCAAGGGAUCAUCUUGAUUGAUAUUUCCAUAGUUAUAUUUUACUUCCAGCAUCUGAAUCUCUUAUGUUGAUAUCUUCCUUGAACACAACUUCUGAGUUUCUCGUUCAGAUUAUUUCUGUUAAUCUGUUUUUUGUCUUGAUGCUUUCAAGAUGGCAAAUCCAUUGAGUGUGGAGCCAGCCAAAUCUGCAAACAGUAAGGAUAAAAGUUCCAAUAAGAAACUUAAGGAAAUUGAUGGGUCUGCAGUAUCUACUGGCAGUGGUAACAGUAAAAAAACAACAUCCAGGUAUUUUCAUGCUUUUCUUCUGUUUCUGAUAUCAAGUAUUCCUGUCCUCUUCUGGUAAACUGAAGUUAUGUUCGUUUGCUGGUCAAUUCAGUGGGGAUUAUAGCGGAGAAGGCUCGAGUGAUGUAAAUGAUCUGAAGGUACCAAUUUGGGCGUGUGAUUGCACAUGUAUUAUAUUUAGUGUCUGGACAAUGCUGAUUUAGGUUAAAACUUUACAUGUUCAGGUGAGCGGGACUCCUAGGAAACGGAGCUUGGAUGGUGGAUUUGGUAUUUCACUUUUCUAACGACUUGUUUAAUUUUCAGAGAUUCUAGUAUUAAUGCCUACUUUGAUUAGUCAUUCUGCUGCAGUAGCCAUCUUGUAUUGUAUUUUUGAAAAAUCCAUCUUGUAUUGUAGCCAUUUUGUACUGUAACACUUCUCUUGUUCUUUUUUCGGUAGGCAAACUUGCAUCUGUUUUUCCUUUGCUUGGCAAAUAGAUACACCUGCAUCUUUGAGUCGCUUCAUGGCUGUAAUCAAGUCCUAUCCUAAGUUUCACGGUUGGCAAGGAAGUGGCUAAUACCUUAAACCUGUCUCCAGACACAGAAGCAACUGCGGCAGCAAGGAAUAAAGACGUUGUAGCUUCUAAUCCUACCAUUCGAAAUGGCACAAUUUUGCCAAACCAAUGCUUUCCAGCUCCGGUCAUUAAACCCAGUGUUACCAAUGUUGCUAAUUCGAGAGCAAUAGGCACACCGGUGUCUCCAUUGCCAGGUGUUAUGGCUCCAAUUCAUACCGGAAUAUCAACUGAAUUAUCAUCUAAGGUAUAUUCAUCUAUUGUUGUUUAGAUCCGAUAGAAAAUCUUGAUUAUGACUGUAUUUUGCACCCAACAAACCCAAUUCCUAGUGUUUCUUGUGAGGUUGUAAUUAUUGUUAUUACUACAACAGUAUGUGUUAAGACCAUUUCUGGUUACAGAGAUUGAUUUUUUUUUUAAUUUCUCANNNNNNNNNNNNNNNNNNNNNNNNNNNNNNNNNNNNNNNNNNNNNNNNNNNNNNNNNNNNNNNNNNNNNNNNNNNNNNNNNNNNNNNNNNNNNNNNNNNNAACCUUUUAGGUAAUUUAUUAAACUAUUUUUUWAAWUAACUUAAAAAAUURWAAACKARGUAUUUUWGUAUUAUUAUUUUUUUAGUAUUUUUUUAAAAUUAGCACUACAHUUUUUAUAAUUUACUAAAAAGAAAGAAAAAUAGAACUUUAAAAUAGUAGAAAAAAAAUAUAAAAAUAGAAAUAGAAACAGAAUAUUAAAAGAAAACAGGCCGGCCCAGGCGUCAGCGCAUGCGUGCGAAGCCCCGCCUACUUUAGGUAAGUGGCGUCAAAUAGGGUUUUUCGCCCUGUCUAACUCAUAUGAAUUGCAGAGAUAUAUCAGGUAGCUAACCCUGUGUCCUUAACAAAGUUGGAAGCUAGCUCAAGCGGUUGGUACUAUUGGGGUAGAAAGUGCAGGUUUGUAAUUUGAAUUCUAGUGAAAAGAAAUAAAGACUACGUGGCAAAAAUAGGACGGACGGGAAAAAUGAACUGUUUUUUUAUUGCGGGUGGCAUUGGAGGUAAUUUCUUGCAACUUUAUUGGCAAUUAAGUUAGUGAAUUGACUAAAAAACAAAGAAAUAUGUAAGAAAUAGAGACUACGUAGCAAAAAUAGGACAGACGGGAAAAAUGAACUGUUUUUUUAUUGCGGGUGGCAUUGGAGGUAUUUUCUUGCAACUUUAUUGGCAAUUAAGUUAGUGAAUUGACAAAAAAAACAAAGAAAUAUGUAUGCCAUUCUUAUUAUUAGGUACACAUAUAGAUAUGUCAACUCUCCACAUGCUUUGGGAUAUCAAACGGCUAAAAUUGGGUUGUUUGACAUCUGGCUUGAAGAGCGUGUGGUACGAAGAGAGAGCGGCAAAGUACGGAGCUAAGAAAAUAUCAUGCCGAGAACACUGAACCACAUCUCAUUGUGUAGCCCACAUUAUAUAACGUGGUAAUGAUCAUGUAAACUUACGAGAAGAUCAAAAUAAGUUUGGGACAACUUUCACGUAUUUGGGACGAUUACAACAACAUGCGACGUUUGAAAAUAAUUUGGAUAAUGUUAAUCUCAUAAAAAAAUCAUAAAUCUGUUUGGAAAUUUGUAAGAAAAAAAUACAUACUCUGUGGGGAAGAGUCAAAAUAAUAACAAGGACGAAAUAAGAAAAUACUAGUCCCUCAUAUCAAAAUAUAAGGAGAUCUUCACUGAAGCUUACGAAGGGCUUCUUGGACGUGCCCAAGCGAGGGAAUCUGGCCUGAACCUUGAUUUCCUUGGGAUUCCUGCCGUUGAUCUUCAAGAGCUUGAGCAGAUGUUCACGGAGGAAGAAGUCUGAAGCACCAUAAAAGAGCUACCCGCGGAUCGUGCGCCGGGACCGGACGGAUUUAUUGGGGCCUUCUACCACCGUGCUUGGCCAAUCAUCAAGCAGGAUACCAUGGCCGUGUUGCUCAAGCUGUUCGUUUGGGAUAGCACAGGAUUUAGCAAGCUCAAUCGUGCCCACAUCAUUCUCAUCCCGAAGAAACCAGACGCUCAAGAGGUUGGAGACUUCCGCCCCAUUAGUCUGCCCCAUAGCAUUGCCAAAUUGUUCGCCAAGAUGCUCGCGAUCAGAGCCAGGAGGAGGAUGAAGGAUAUUGUUGCGGCCAAUCAGUCCGCCUUCAUUCUUGGCAGGAGCUUGCACGAUAACUUCCUGCUAGUGCGCCAAGUUGCUAGGAAAAUUCAUGCCCGUCGUGAUCUCGGAGUAUUCCUCAAACUGGAUAUUUCGCGCGCCUUCGAUUCAUUGGCGUGGCCGUUCCUCUUUGACGUCCUUCGCGCAAAAGGAUUCGGCAACAAGUGGAUUGGUUGGGUGGCUACGCUACUCAACUCGGCGAGCGCCAAGGUUGUGGUGAACGGAGUCCCCGGAAGGAGUUUUGUGCAUGCCAAGGGCUUAAGGNNNNNNNNNNNNNNNNNNNNNNNNNNNNNNNNNNNNNNNNNNNNNNNNNNNNNNNNNNNNNNNNNNNNNNNNNNNNNNNNNNNNNNNNNNNNNNNNNNNNCCCCCGGAAACUAUCAUUAAUGAAACGAUGUAAUAUACAUCAUACACAAGUUUACAUUGAGUUGUCAUUUUUUUAUUUACACAGAAAUGUAUUGAUCGGAACAAAUUAAUAAAUUACCUCAUGAAGUGUCAGAGAAAGAAGGCACCCAAAUAUGAAUUGUUAGUGUCAGGGAAAGAAUUUAUUUUUUUUAUUUCUAAUACUAAUUCUUCUAAACUACAAUUGCCCACAAGCCAUUCCAAGUCACGGGAGAAAGAAGGCACCCAAAUAUGAAUUCUUAGUGUCAAGAAAUUGCACCUGCUCUUCCUGCCUCAAACACCUGCGCAUCUAUACUACUAAUAAAAGAUCAAAUGAAAACUUUUCUAAGUACACACAACUAUUACCCCCACAAAAACAAACACCAAUCACCACCACACAAUUAGACAACAAAUUACAAUCUAACGGCCUUCCACCAUCCAUGCACCACCACCGUGUGCAUUUACCAAAUUAACUAAGGCUGACCGUGCUCCACCUCCUCCUACAGCAAAAAACUGUUGCACCUCCACGAAAAAAAGGAGCCAAUCAAGUACAUAAAUUUAGGAAGAAUUAACGGGAGCCAGUCGCCCUGGCCUGCACCUUCGCCGUCGCCUCCGCGUCCAACCUCCCCCUCCCCGUCCGCCUCCUCCUCCCCCUCCCCGUCCGCCKCCCUCCUCCCCUCCCCSUCCCCGUCCCCGUHCCCGUCCCGUCCCGUCCCCUUCCCCCUCCCCCCGUCCCSKCCCCGYCCCCGUCCCGUCCCGUCCCCGACCUCCUCUCGUCNNNNNNNNNNNNNNNNNNNNNNNNNNNNNNNNNNNNNNNNNNNNNNNNNNNNNNNNNNNNNNNNNNNNNNNNNNNNNNNNNNNNNNNNNNNNNNNNNNNNCUUGUUUUUUUGUUCAAUUCUACUAACUUAACUUAGUCCAUAAAGUUGCAGAAUUACCUCCAAUGCACCGCAUAAAAAACRMGUUACGACUUUUUCCCCGUUCCGUCCCUAUUUUUGUCCACGUAGUCUUUAUUCUUUUUCACUAGAAUUCAAAUUACAAACCUGCACUUUCUUACCCCAACUAGUACCAACCGCUUGAGCUAGCUUCCAACUUUGUUAAGGACACAGGGUUAGCUACCUGAUAUAUCUCUGCAAUUCAUAUGAGUUAGACAGGGCGAAAAACCCUAAUUUGACGCCACUUACCUAAAGUAGGCGGGGCUUCGCACGCAUGCGCUGACGCCUGGGCCGGCCUGUUUUCUUUUAAUAUUCUGUUUCUAUUUCUAUUUUUAUAUUUUUUUUCUACAUUUUAAAGUUCAUUUUUCUUUCUUUUAGAAAUAUAAAAAUGUGUGCAUUUUAAAAAAAUCAAAAAAAUAUAUCAAAAAUCCUGUUUUCAAUUUUUUAAGUAUUUAAAAAAAUGUUUAUAAAUCCAAAAGGUGUUUAGAAUGUCGAAAAUUGUUCGCUUAUUUACAAAGGAUGUUCGAAAAUUGAAAAAAAAUAAAAAAAAUCAUUUUUUUAAAAACUGUUCUCAGUUUGAAAGUUUUAUUCAUGUAUUAAAAAAAUGUUCAGGAUUUCAAAUUGUUAACAGUUUUAAAAUUUUGUUCUCUAGCUGAAAAGAAAUGCUUGGGAGUUUCAAAAAUUAUUCCGAUGUACAAAUUUUGUUUGGUUUGGGGUAAGGUGAGGGACGUGUUGAUUCAUUUCUGAUUGCCUGUAUGGUUUCUUUCGUAUGUUGUCUUUAUUUCACAUCUCUUUUUGUCCCAAAUACGUUUAAGCUGUCCCAAACUUAUUUUCAUCUUCUUAAGUUUCAAUGAUCAUUAACAUGUUAUAUAAUGUUGGCUAUACAAUGAGAUGUGGUUCAGUCUUCUCAACAUGAUAUUUUCUAAGCUCCGUACUUUGCUGCUCUCUCUUGGUACCACACGUUCUUCAAGCCAGAUGUCAAACAAAGCAGAUUUCUAAUCGUUCGACAUCCCAAAUGCAUAUCUAUAUUUCUACCUAAUAAUAAUAAAGGCAUGUGCAGUUCUUUGUUUUUUUUGUCCAUUCACCAUCCUACUCCCUCGGUUCCUAAAUAUAUGUCUUUUUAGAGAUUUCACUAUAUGAGUACAUAACGAUGUAUAUAGACAUAAUUUAUGGUGUAGAUUCACUUAUUUUACUUCGUAUGUGGUCCCUUAAUAAAAUCUCUAAAAAGACUUAUAUUUAGAAACGGAGGGAGUAAUUGCCCAUAAAGUUGCAAGAAAUUACAACCAAUGUCACCUGCAAUGCUAAAAAAACAGAACAAUUUUUUACGCCCGUCCUAUUUUUGCCACCUAGGUUCUGUUUUUUCUUUUUGGCCGCCCCUGUUUUUCUUUUCGUCCGUCCGCACAGCUCGCAUAGGCCUCCUAAACGGCCCUGCUCGUUUCAUCUACUGCGAGGCGACAUGGGUGAAUCCUCUCACACCGCCGCCACCAGCCCCUACUCCCAAUCCCUUCCAUGUAGUUGUCGGCGCAUGUCGACGAACAAAGCUCGCCGGCGGUUGGCGGUGGUGGGACCUUUCCUCCCGUGGGUGUGCCAUGAAGGCUUUUCCUCAACAACAACAAAACGUAGUCCCCCUUUGGCAGGAAAUGAUCAGCAUUCAAACAAUUGAAUUGUCCACUCGACAGCCGCAACGUUAGCUCAUCAAUUUUGCAAGCAUAUAAAAGAGCAUUAUACUUGGAGUGUGAAGUUCUAGUGCUCGGGCAUCUUGAUGGCCUUUAUAGAAAAAAAUUAAAAAAAACAUAUUAAAAGGUUUCUAAAAAAUCAAAAAUAAUUCAGUUGAAACUUGUAUGUAUUCACUACGGAUCCAUGAAAUUUUGUUUUGAAAAAAAAUGUAAUUCGUGAGGUGUACACAAAUAACAAAAUUCCGGCCCAAUAACAGGAAAAGCCCAUUUGAAAAUACACAUUUGUUUUUUUAUACGCCACAUGCGAGAGUAAAAUGAUAUGGAAUUCUACAGAUACAUAAUAUACACAUGCGUGUGUGUUUACGAAUAAAAACAGUUUUUUUACGUUGCAGAAAAAUGAUUUUUGGAAACGGGCACCAAGGUGCCCGUGCACCAUUGCUAAUUUCCGAUUAUAGUUGGUACUUUACGUGUAAAAUCUGAUUGUCUUUUAUGGAAACUUUAACAAAUCUUCUAAGAGAUUGCAAAAUUAACACGUAAAGUACCAAGUAUAAUUUCAUGAAAUAAAUGCCAUGAACUAUUCACCAGUGAUAUAUUUGCCAUGAGAUGUGGACAUGUGGUAGCAUACUUUCUCUUGAAAUCACCGUCAAAGUUUGUAGCGCAUGUUCUUUGGUCCUAUGUUUGACAGCAUAUAAAAGAGCAGUGAAGAGAAAUCUACUCCUAGCUAGUUUCCAUGUUCACCAGGAACUUAUGUUAGGUCGACAACUGUCACAACUCCUAGCAUACAAAAGGCGGUCAAUUCUCAGUAGUAAUUAAGUUGUGCCUGAUUAUUUCUGUCCACCAAGCCGAGAAGAGAAAAAUGCCGUCCAAUCCACCUCGAAGGGCACACUCGUCGCACUGGCGAGGCCACCGAAUUCCGGUGUAAUAUCUUGCGUUGCUCCGGUUCCGAGAUCAGCAAUGUGUAUAUUGCACAAGUAGUCGACCAAAAUCAACUUGCCACUCCUCUCACCCAUCCAUAGAACCCGCGCACCGUGAUCAUGCUUCAGCUUGAGUCGUCCAAUAUCAAUCAUCCGAGUACAUCGCCACUCCAUAGUGCUACCUCCAUCUCUACAUGUCCAGUUCUCUACUUGAUUGCCUUGGGGCAGGUCAAGCAAAGAGAUCUUUCCACCGGUAGCAAUGUUGAGCCAUGGUGGCGCGAAUAAAAAGGCGUCAAUCGGAAUCGAGAGCUUUGCUGAGGAGACAUGGCCACUGUCAACGCUCACCUGGAGGAUGUAUGUAAUAGUCGGACGUACGUGCCUCUGAAGAGCCAAUAUGCCCGAGGCGCGGUCCAGCCCGACUCAUUGGACGAGAACAUGUAGAGAUCAAAGUCACUGGAGGUGCAAUUCGGGCCUACAGCCGGGUGUGCGUUGGCGCAGAUGAUGAGCACUUUGAACAAGGUCGAGUACCCUGGCGACGACGGACUUGGCUUUCGUUUCGUUGGAAAGGUCUGCACCGGUUAAUUAGAAUGGCAUGGCAUGCUAGUACGUACGAGUGCGCAUGCACUUGUUGCUCAUGAGAGGAGGGAGCACGUCGCAGGUGCCAUGGAGUGGGUUGCAGACGGCUAGGCUAGGUGGAUGUGGAUCGGCCCGUCCAGGCUCAAUAGAAGGAGGCCACGGCGCGCGCCUAGGGUUUUCGCGCGGUUGAAGAAACCGGCGGCGGCCUCGGGGAAGAACGAGCCGAUGCCGAGCGGUGAUCGCGGUGCCGGGACCAAGACGUGCCCCGAAGCGCCUAGCUGCGGAGCGAAGAAGCCCAAGAUAGAAGAUGAUCCGGCCGGGUGCAUCCGCCGGCCAACGGCGACGGAGGAAGGAAGGANNNNNNNNNNNNNNNNNNNNNNNNNNNNNNNNNNNNNNNNNNNNNNNNNNNNNNNNNNNNNNNNNNNNNNNNNNNNNNNNNNNNNNNNNNNNNNNNNNNNUAUCAAUUUAAGACACUAGAUAGGGGAUAGGAAGCUCACGGUAGUUCAUUGGGUUUUGACCUCCUUAGUGGUUUCCCAUGCGUAAUAUACUUUUCAUAAAUUGCUUUAACUUUAUUCUUCUUUAACUUUCUAACCUUACCUGUUUCUUUCCCUUCGGGUUUGUACAACUGGCACUUUAGUCCAUCCUCUUCUUCCUAGUGUUCUUGUCGUGUGUGCUAGGGCCACUGCCGACAUCAAUGGGUUGCUCGUCCGUGACGCCCAUCGUUUGAGCUGCAAGAAGAAGACAUGUAAGUAUUGUGUGGGGGGACAGGGUAAGCUAGGAGGGAUUUUACGAGAAUUUGCUGCAAUCACACAAAAACUAUAAUAAACAUAGACACAACAAAAAAAGAUGCAAACAUGAAACAAGGUGUUCAAAGAAAAGAAGAAAUGACGACGAAGGUAGGAAGCAUACCUGGGAUAGUAGGGCUGCCAUCAUCAUCUGAGACAGGGAACACAGGGAUGUUGGGGUAGAUAUUGCUGCAUGUUUUGUUAUUAUUUGUAGGCUCGUCCAUGCCAUGCAUCAAGUUGAAGUCUUCAGACCCCUUUGGGAACAGCUCACAUGAAGACUCGUCAUCCCAAACACCGGCUGUUGCACUCCUGGGUGCAUCAUGGAAUGGAGGGGGGCUCUGAGGUGGCACGUGUACUUCCACCUCCAUACUCACUCUUUGUUGCUGAUGAGUUUGACCAGCAUCUUCUGCAACUUCUUGGUUUUUCUCCAUCUCCCCAACAACUUCAUCUUUGCUCAUCACUGCAACCGUACCUUCAGCUUGAUCACCAAUGCAUGAAGUUGCAGCUUGAGCAUCCUUCUCUUUCUCACGAGCCUCGUCCAUGGGAGGUGUUGCAGCUUCAGCUUCAUUCUUGAGCAUCCUUCUCUUUCUCACGAGCCUCGUCCAUGGUAGGUGUUGCAGCUUCAUCUUGAGCAUCCUUAGCUUUCUCCACAGCUUCAUCUGUGGUAUUAGCGAUGGCAUCUCCCACGUCACGAAGCAUAGAGGCCAUCCGGCUGGAUUGCAAUCGCUGUAAACUUUGCCCAAACUUGCGUAUUGCAUCAUCAACCUCGGUUGAGAAAUUUUCCUUGUGCUUGUCAUACAAUGUUUGGAACUGAGCUGGUACCUACAAGAAGGCACGUAUUUCAAAAAUUAGUCAUUUUACAUGUAUCUUUAAAACAAAACAAAAUAAUGCAUGCAACUUUUGUAGAAAAAGGUACCUUUAGAUCAUCCAUGCUAGGGAACGGUUGUUGAAGCCAAUCAUCGAACGAUGAGGAUAAAUUUGGUAGGACCUCAACAUUUUCUUGAGCUUCAGGUACUUCAUUUUUGGCUUCCUUGGCCAUUAGUUGCUUCAGCACCAGCGCCCUGCCCGGUGGCUGCUUCACGAUCAACUUCUGGACCAAUAACCUCAGCAUACGGAGUGUUGCACAGAGUCCGAAACUAGGAACAAAAAGAAACAAAAAAUACAUGAGGGAGAAAUAAAAAUUGGUUGGUAUGCAUGAGAUGGAACCAAAACCUGUGAUGCGGUCAAAAACAGCAGCUAUAAAACACACAUAUGCACACGCUAAAAAAACUGAAAACAUGUGCAACAUACAAAAGGUAGCUAGCAACAAAAAAUCUGAAACUGGCAGUUGCUACAUGUUGCAUCCAUAUGGUUCAUUUGCUGCAUCCAUAAUGUUAAUUUGCUACAUGCUGCAUCCUAAUUGUUGCAUCCAUAUUGUUCAUUUGCUGCAUCCAUAAUGUUAAUUUGCUAUAUGAUGCAUCCUAAUUGUUGCAAUCAUAAUGUUAAUUUGCUACAUGUUGCAUCCUAAUUGUUGCAUCCAUAUGGUUCAUUUGAUGCAUCAUAAUGUAAUUGCUACAUGNNNNNNNNNNNNNNNNNNNNNNNNNNNNNNNNNNNNNNNNNNNNNNNNNNNNNNNNNNNNNNNNNNNNNNNNNNNNNNNNNNNNNNNNNNNNNNNNNNNNUGGGCGCUGCNCCGGGCGACGCUGUGGGCGACUCCGCAUGGGUGCCCGGACGGAAGGGGCKACUGCUCCUCGUGCAUCCGSCAGUGGCGGCUCUCCYKGCAUGGUAGUGGGAGGUGGAGGCCACCGGGGGACCGAUAUGGGUGACACGACGGGCGGCGACGACGACAGAGAUGGGGGACACGGCGGGCGGCGGACGGGGAGGGGAAGGAGGAGGCGGACGGCGGAGGGGGAGGAGGAGGCGGGACGGGGGAGGGGGAGGAGGGAGGCGGACGGGGAGGGGGAGUUGGACGCGGAGGCGACGGCGAAGGUGCAGGCCAGGGCGACUGGCUCCCGUUAAUUCUUCCUAAAUUUAUGUACUUGAUUGGCUCCUUUUUUUCGUGGAGGUGCAACAGUUUUUUGCUGUAGGAGGAGGUGGAGCACGGUCAGCCUUAGUUAAUUUGGUAAAUGCACACGGUGGUGGUGCAUGGAUGGUGGAGGCCGUUAGAUUGUAAUUGUGUCUAUUGUGUGGUGUGAUUGGUGUUUGUUUUGUGGGGUNNNNNNNNNNNNNNNNNNNNNNNNNNNNNNNNNNNNNNNNNNNNNNNNNNNNNNNNNNNNNNNNNNNNNNNNNNNNNNNNNNNNNNNNNNNNNNNNNNNNUAAAAGAUCGUCACUCCAUGUGAAGUAUAUCACGGUGAAAAGAAGCACCGGACAGGUCAGAUAACAAAUUUAAAAGGAUACCCUUUUUCAAAUAUGUUUACGCGAUUUUAAGAAUAUAUACUGUUUUAUGWAAUACAUUAUCCUGAAGUAGAAAUACAAAAGAAAUAAAACAAGACAUGACCCAUAUUCUCCCUGGUGAACAAUAAAUUAAGAACAAAUAGGAAAUAAAUUCUAAAAUUUAUGAUUUUUUUUGUAGAUCUUUGCCAAUUUUCACGCGAAACGGGAUAUCAAUUCUUUGUUGGUGAAAAGACAAAAUUAAGUGUACCAUUUAAUGAUAACAUUUAUUGUUUGUACUUUUUUUUUUUGUCUACAGGUCAACAUGCUUAAGCUUUUCCUGAGGUAACAUUUGAGUGUGACAAUAAACACAUAUAUUUCGUUAGUAGUCAAACCCGUGUACACAUUAUUAUUCAGUCUACUUCCGCCCAGAGACGCCCGGGCAAAUGGUAAUUAUGCAUCGCCCAGUUAUAGAAUUCAAACUAAAACUUACUANNNNNNNNNNNNNNNNNNNNNNNNNNNNNNNNNNNNNNNNNNNNNNNNNNNNNNNNNNNNNNNNNNNNNNNNNNNNNNNNNNNNNNNNNNNNNNNNNNNNUGGUUCCUUUAGUUGGAAGACAUUAGGGAAAAUAAGAGAGAUUCCCCUAAAUAAGAKAUAUUUUCGUUAAAACAUAGAAGAGAUGUGUGACAUCCCCCGAUUUAGCUACAAUAACCAUUUUAAUUAAGUUACAGCGAUGGUGACGAUUAAUCUAAAUACUUUUGCUAAACAGUGCUUGAUCAAACUUCGGAUCAUAUCUAAUUUUAUAUUCCUAUUGAAAUUCAAAAUUCCAAUAGUAAGUGGAAUAAAUAUUUUGUAAAACAAGAAAAAUAAAAUCAUGGUUGAAUUCCAAAUAUUCACUAGGAAAUUAUAAAAUAUGACACCAUAUUUUAUCAAGUCAUCUCGUCCCUCAAAAUAAUUAAAAUACAGGCCAAAUCAUUUAUGAAAUGACCUUUUAAAUUAUGAAAUUUUCAAAUAAAUUUAAAAACGGMCCCMAAAAUGACUUGUGGCAGUCCCUAAUAUUGCAACACUAAUAUUAGGCCAAGUGGWAWUUUUUUACAAAAGCUAUUUUUCUCAAUAGAAAUAAAUAAAAAUARRAAAAAGACAAAAGGAAAAAAAGUAAAAGAAAAAGGAAAAAGACCCUUUACCCCUACGGGCCGGACCCAACUUCUCUCCUCUACUCCGGCCCAAUCUCACCUCUCCUAACCCUACUCCUUUUCCUACUUCCCCUCCCCUCUCCCCCACCCCCGUACGACCACCCUAGUCUANNNNNNNNNNNNNNNNNNNNNNNNNNNNNNNNNNNNNNNNNNNNNNNNNNNNNNNNNNNNNNNNNNNNNNNNNNNNNNNNNNNNNNNNNNNNNNNNNNNNAGGAUAACUUGCUCUUACUUUGUAGAAUUUGAGUAAUUGAUUUAGUUAUAUCAUUCAUGGUUUGUGUGACAAGAGACACACUAGAAUCAUUUUUAUAAAUGUUUCCAUGAGUACCAUAAAGUAUCUAUAAAUACCACACAAUGUUGAGAUGCACAUAUCUUUUGAAUGUNUUCAGGGAAUAAUGAGUUGGCUCAUUUAGAAUUGUAAGGUGAGAGUUCUUUAAAUUAAUUUCCCUUAUGGCACAUGUGGUGCACNUAAAAUCUGAUGAUUUGGGAAAUUUUGCAACUUGUUAAGUUGUGACCAAUAGAAUUGUCAAUAAUUUUCUAAACAACCCCAAACCUGGAUUGUAAGGCUUAAAACCAAAUAUUUUGUAAGAUUUAGAAAAUUAUUGUGUACGCAACAAAACUGAGUAUKAAUUGAUUCAUACAUGCAAAAAUUAUCAAAUAUAAUGUCCAAGAAAUAGGAUAUUUGACAUUUAUACUACAUGUAGUAGUACGACUAUAGGCAAACAAUAUUUUGGGAAUAAUCGGGAUGUUACAUGAGGUCUCCCAUAUUACGGAAAAAUGAGUUAUGCAAACAUAUCAUAGGCACAAACGAAUCGAUCAUUCUUUUAUUUCACUAUAUUUUUGGUUCUCCUUCUGAUGAAGAUUCGAGAACAUCAUUUACCAGAAUAGUUUCUGGUCGUAUGUUUACAAAUUAAAUACCCCAAUGAACUUAUUUGCCUUUUAAUAAACUCAUGGUGUGGUUUGACCAUAUGUUUGAGGGUUUGGUAAUCAUAUGUACGAUAUUUAUGUAACCACACAUUUGACAAACUUAAGAGUUGUCUUUGUGAUCAUUUGGAAAUGAUUAAUUCCCCAAUUAAAAGACAAUUUUCUCUAUUUGUUUGUCUUUAGCCUCCACUUUUACUUUGUAAUUCCUCAUGGUUCUAUUUUGGGACCACUAACUUACUACUNNNNNNNNNNNNNNNNNNNNNNNNNNNNNNNNNNNNNNNNNNNNNNNNNNNNNNNNNNNNNNNNNNNNNNNNNNNNNNNNNNNNNNNNNNNNNNNNNNNNCCGUCCGCCUCCUCCUCCCCCUCCCCGUCCGCCUCCUCCUCCCCCUCGCCGUCCGCCUCCUCCUUCCCCUCCCCGUCCGCCGCCCGCCGUGUCCCCCAUCUCUGUCGUCGUCGCCGCCCGUCGUGUCCCCCAUAUCGGUCCCCGGUGGCCUCCACCUCCACUACAUGCAGGAGAGCCGCCAUGCGGAUGCACGAGGAGCAGUCGCCCCUUCCUCCGGGCACCCAUGCGGAGUCGCCCACAGCGUCGCCCGGCGCAGCGCCCACUGCGGCCCUUAUUCGCCGACCGGGUGCAAUGCCUCAUCUCGCCACACCUCACCCGGCGGACCUCCCACCGCGCUGGUGAAAAGACCUCGAUGACGCCUAGAGGGGGGUGAAUAGGCUAUUUAAAAGCUUUUUCAGAUUUGGCUUGAACCUAAUGCGGAAAUCAACUAAGAGGGUACUUGUCAAGCACAAAUCCUAAAUGCACUAGGCACUGCAACGUGUAUCAACAACACGAUCUACCAAGAUGGACACAAUACAGUUACUAACAAGCACAAGCAAGUUACACAAACUUACUUGANNNNNNNNNNNNNNNNNNNNNNNNNNNNNNNNNNNNNNNNNNNNNNNNNNNNNNNNNNNNNNNNNNNNNNNNNNNNNNNNNNNNNNNNNNNNNNNNNNNNUUUAAAUGUUUUUGGCACUACAGUUUUGGUUGCAAGAUUUAUUUGAAACAUAUGAAGCAAAUUUUAUUAAUGGUGGAAGCUUUUUUAUUUGCAGUUACAACAUUGAAAAGCAAGCAGCAGAUUUCUAUACCAGGGAGGUAUUUUCCAAGUUCCAAAAGUUGUUGACUAAAUCAACAUGUUUUGGGCUGCAACAUCAAGUCCAGGGGGAUUCCAUAAUCUUUCAUCUUGUUGCGAAUGAUGGUGCCAACCGUAAAGUUUACGUUGUGCGAGUUGAUCCUGAAGAUGAGAGGUACAUGUGCAGUUGCAACAUGUUUGAGAUGUGUGGGUUGAUCUGCCCACAUAUCAUCCGUGUCAUGGUGCACCUAAACGUGCAAACGAUCCCUACAACUUACAUGCUUGAAAGAUGGUCCAAGCGAACAACUGACGUAGCACCUGAUCCCGGUGAUGGGCAUAGCGAUAUGCACUUUGGUGUCCCAACGACAAACAGACUCAAGUUCAACUCUCUUUGCAGGAAGUUUGGCAAGCUCGCUUCUGAUGCAUGCUUUAGUGAUGAAGCUUAUAAUUUCGUGUCUGGACUUAUUAAUCAAGGAAUUGUUGGAGUUGCUGCAAUGAAAGCUAGAGCGAGGGAUGGGGUUCCACCAGCCGGAGAAGCCCAAGGCCAUGAAGCCGAUCAACAAGUGCAUGCUUCAACAGGUCCAGUAACAGGGCAGCAGGAACCAACCCCCGUAGGUUUGCGGAACCCGCCAAAGUCUGCGAAAAAAGGGAGGCCAAAGGAAAAAGAGAAGCGAAGGAAGCCACUUAUUGAGAUACGAGAAGAUGAGAUGAGGAAGAAUGCAAAGAAAGACGGAGCAAAAAUGAAGAAAGCUCCAAAGCCAAGGGAUAAGAAGACACCUUGCAUUUUUUGUGGAGAUGAGGAUCACAAUGCCAAGAGCUGCAAACUGCUUGCUGAUAUGCUUGCUGCUAGUGCGGCCACAAAACUUUCGGAUGUAGAAAUGGUCCUUACCCUUUAGGAUGUUUCAAUGAUGAUGAAAAUAUGUAUUGCUUUGUGACCUUGCUUGUAGAAACAACUUUAGAAUGCAACAUGUUACUACAUGUGUGAAUUUAAAAAUAUUUAAAUUCAUAAGUUUGUGAAGCUGUGGUUUUUAGUAGAAUGAUGAAUACUAAGUUUGUUGCAAUGGUUGCAUGGUUUUUUUAUAAUUAAAUAUAAUUACGGAGAAAGCAGUCUUGCUUGUAACAAAUGUAGUCAGCAGUUGUAGCAUACACAGACAGUAGUUGAAGCUUAUUUUUGAAUGAUGCAACCGUACAUGAUUUCUGCUUUGUUGGGACGCCUAAAGCUUGUCGGCGUCCUCGCCGCCGCUCGUCCCCGGUGUGCAGCUUGCAUAAAAAUAGAGCACUGAGCACCCCAGUGGUACAACUCACGACCAAAAAAGCUAUAAAUUGGCGACCGAAAAAGCUACAACCUCGUACAAAAAAGCUUUAACAUGGUACGAAAAAGCUACAGCUGAUGUCGCAGCUCCGCCAAGCUCCCAGGCUUUGGCUGUGGAACAAAAUUUUGUAGUGUAUGUGUAAUGGUUGUAAAACAUGGAUGAAGCAUUUUUUGUCAUCUUGAAGCAAAUAAUUUACCAAAAAGUAGCACUACAAUUAUUACAUGAAAAACAUGUUUGUAGAAAAAGUGUACUGUUGAAGCUUUUAUAGAUUAUGCUUCGAGCAAAUAUGUUAAAAUAUACACUAAAAGAUUCAGCAAUGGACAAAAGUGUCGUAUUCAUCGUGCAAACAUGUUGGCACCAAAAAUGCUUCAUCCGGAUUCAGACAUACAAAGUAAAACAAGUACCAUUGGUUCAUACAUGUCGCAAACAAAAACAAAGUUUAAUGGAAUUAUCAUUCUUUACACAAGUACCAUUGGUGCUAUCAAGAUGCUACCAUUUGAGACAUUAUCUAGACCUAAUGAAAAAGCCCGUUCGCCUUGAACCAUCCUGAAAUCAGUCUGCCAACUCUUCCCUGAAUGCCAGCUCCAUUGAGGCUGUGUUGAGUGAGUGAUGGAUCAGGUUGUACACCCAUUCCAUGCGGUACCGCGCAAUGUCUUCCUGUAAAACAUGAAAAGUUGAGAAGCAGUUUGUUACUUGCUAUUCUUUUUGCUGCAUAGAUUUUGAACAAACAAAAAAGUAGAUUUAACAAAAUUAGAAAAACCAACAAAGAUAAAAAUGGAUACCUGCUCAAACCCUUUCAUUGCCUUUCCAUCAAAGUUUUCCGCAUACUUGACAGCAAAGAAACCACAAUCACACCUGUGAGUUGACAUGAAAAAAAUGACAAUCCCGUAUAUAGGGAAAACAACAAACUUGUUUCAAAGGAACACAUGGUUUGAAGCAUAUGAAAAACUCACAGGUUAUUUUGCUUUGGAUAGUCUUCUAGAUCAGCCCGGGUGAAGGAUGCAACAUUUACAUUAAAUGCAUCACACUCUUGUGUGAGGGUUGUAAAGUUUGUGAUCUACCACCAAAAACACACACAAAAAGUUUGAAAAGAACAUGUGAAACAAUUAAAAGAUGACACCAGCAAAUUUAAGUAGUCGGAGCGAGGGCACACACAACUAUAAAAAAGAGAGAAAAGAGCUGACCAGGUUGUUUGCCUGCUUCUUCAAGGUCAAUGGUUUUCCUUUUGCACUAAUUGAGUCAAAUGCAUUCCAUUGCUUGUGAAGCAAGUUUGCGCAAACAACUAUCCAAUGACACUCAUGAACAACGGCAAACCAUAGCUGAAAAAUGCAAAAAGAAGGCAAAGGUACUCCUAACAUUAACAAGAAAUGUUACGUGUGUCGCAUCGCUAGAACUAGAUUUGAAAGUAUUUGUGCUGUGAAAACAGAAAUGGCUUGCGGUGACUUACCAGGUCGUAUUUUUGAACCUUGAACUUAGUCACAGCCCUUUCAAGCUCAGCCAUGAGUGCAUUUGAUUAGAAAAUUGAUGGGUCUUGCUUGAGUAGAGACUGCUUGAAAUAGCAACAAAAAGGAUUACUGUCUAAUGAAUGCAAAGUGAAAAAAGCAUGAAGCAUUUCUUUGUUUUUACAAAACUUACUGCCCUGUAGACUGAGAAGAAGUAUUUUUUACAGCCCUAUUGUGUGUUGCAUAAGAUGCCAUAUUGAGCCGCUCGAUACACAACGACAUGACCUCAUCAUUCAUGUCCCCUCGGGGCUUCAAGCAUGCAAGAAACUUCUUGUACCCCACAUAAAACCCACCUAUUUUGAUGAAAGGUGUCCUGGUACAAUAGUUGCAAGCGAAUGAAUAAUUUGUUUCAACAACAUCAAUUUAAGACACUAGAUAGGGGAUAGGAAGCUCACGGUAGUUCAUUGGGUUUUGACCUCCUUAGUGGUUUCCCAUGCGUAAUAUACUUUUCAUAAAUUGCUUUAACUUUAUCUUCUUUAACUUCAACCUUCUGUUUCUUUCCCUUGGGUUUGACAACUGGCACUUUAGCCAUCCUCUUCUUCCUAGUGUUCUUGUCGUGUGUGCUAGGGCCACUGCCGACAUCAAUGGGUUGCUCGUCCGUGACGCCCAUCGUUUGAGCUGCAAGAAGAAGACAUGUAAGUAUUGUGUGGGGGGACAGGGUAAGCUAGGAGGGAUUUUACGAGAAUUUGCUGCAAUCACACAAAAACUAUAAUAAACAUAGACACAACAAAAAAAGAUGCAAACAUGAAACAAGGUGUUCAAAGAAAAGAGAAAUGACGACGAAGGUAGGAAGCAUACCUGGGAUAGUAGGGCUGCCAUCAUCAUCUGAGACAGGGAACACAGGGAUGUUGGGGUAGAUAUUGCUGCAUGUUUUGUUAUUAUUUGUAGGCUCGUCCAUGCCAUGCAUCAAGUUGAAGUCUUCAGACCCCUUUGGGAACAGCUCACAUGAAGACUCGUCAUCCCAAACACCGGCUGUUGCACUCCUGGGUGCAUCAUGGAAUGGAGGGGGGCUCUGAGGUGGCACGUGUACUUCCACCUCCAUACUCACUCUUUGUUGCUGAUGAGUUUGACCAGCAUCUUCUGCAACUUCUUGGUUUUUCUCCAUCUCCCCAACAACUUCAUCUUUGCUCAUCACUGCAACCGUACCUUCAGCUUGAUCACCAAUGCAUGAAGUUGCAGCUUGAGCAUCCUUCUCUUUCUCACGAGCCUCGUCCAUGGGAGGUGUUGCAGCUUCAGCUUCAUCUUGAGCAUCCUUCUCUUUCUCACGAGCCUCGUCCAUGGUAGGUGUUGCAGCUUCAUCUUGAGCAUCCUUAGCUUUCUCCACAGCUUCAUCUGUGGUAUUAGCGAUGGCAUCUCCCACGUCACGAAGCAUAGAGGCCAUCCGGCUGGAUUGCAAUCGCUGUAAACUUUGCCCAAACUUGCGUAUUGCAUCAUCAACCUCGGUUGAGAAAUUUUCCUUGUGCUUGUCAUACAAUGUUUGGAACUGAGCUGGUACCUACAAGAAGGCACGUAUUUCAAAAAUUAGUCAUUUUACAUGUAUCUUUAAAACAAAACAAAAUAAUGCAUGCAACUUUUGUAGAAAAAGGUACCUUUAGAUCAUCCAUGCUAGGGAACGGUUGUUGAAGCCAAUCAUCGAACGAUGAGGAUAAAUUUGGUAGGACCUCAACAUUUUCUUGAGCUUCAGGUACUUCAUUUUGGCUUCCUUGGCCAUUAGUUGCUUCAGCACCAGCGCCCUGCCCGGUGGCUGCUUCACGAUCAACUUCUGGACCAAUAACCUCAGCAUACGGAGUGUUGCACAGAGUCCGAAACUAGGAACAAAAAGAAACAAAAAAUCAUGAGGGAGAAAUAAAAAUUGGUUGGUAUGCAUGAGAUGGAACCAAAACCUGUGAUGCGGUCAAAAACAGCAGCUAUAAAACACACAUAUGCACACGCUAAAAAAACUGAAAACAUGUGCAACAUACAAAAGGUAGCUAGCAACAAAAAAUCUGAAACUGGCAGUUGCUACAUGUUGCAUCCAUAUGGUUCAUUUGCUGCAUCCAUAAUGUUAAUUUGCUACAUGUUGCAUCCUAAUUGUUGCAUCCAUAUGGUUCAUUUGCUGCAUCCAUAAUGUUAAUUUGCUACAUGCUGCAUCCUAAUUGUUGCAUCCAUAUUGUUCAUUUGCUGCAUCCAUAAUGUUAAUUUGCUAUAUGAUGCAUCCUAAUUGUUGCAAUCAUAAUGUUAAUUUGCUACAUGUUGCAUCCUAAUUGUUGCAUCCAUAUNNNNNNNNNNNNNNNNNNNNNNNNNNNNNNNNNNNNNNNNNNNNNNNNNNNNNNNNNNNNNNNNNNNNNNNNNNNNNNNNNNNNNNNNNNNNNNNNNNNNUGACAAGAUCAAGAUAAGCAUUCUUGAGCACUACAUGCUUGAUUCCUGUGGAUGUUCACAUGAUGGACAAAUGAAGAUAAAUACAUAAGCUAGGCUUUCCACAUUGUGUAUGGGAAAGCUACUUGAAGACUUCAUCAUGUCCUGCUUUCAACUUGAGCCAAGAAGGAACAACAACAUCAAGCUCAAGUGAAAGGGCUNNNNNNNNNNNNNNNNNNNNNNNNNNNNNNNNNNNNNNNNNNNNNNNNNNNNNNNNNNNNNNNNNNNNNNNNNNNNNNNNNNNNNNNNNNNNNNNNNNNAGUACUCUUUUAUGAUUCUUGAGUCCUUAGGGAUCCCGCACUAUUAAGAGGGGAUCACAGGUUUUGCGAUAAACUUGCUCAAACUACAUCAUCACUUUCUGCUCAGACCACAUCUCCACUGUUUUGUUGUUAUCUUAAAACAAAACCAGUGCCUCGGACAUCCGGCUUUCUCCGGACGUCCGAGGACCGGACGACUCACUAGUUCGGAAAUCCGGAAUCCUAUAGUAGAGAAAUCAGAGCCAUAUAACUCGGACUUCCGGCUACCUCCGGACGNNNNNNNNNNGAACCAGUGUCUCGGACAUCCGGCUUUCUCCGGACAUCCGAGGACCGGACGACUGACUAGUUCGGAAAUCCGGAAUCCUAUACUAGAGAAAUCAGAGCCAUAUAACUCGGACUUCCGGCUACCUCCGGACGNNNNNNNNNNGCGAGGCCCGGAUGUCUGGCCAAGUUCCGGAAAUCCGGAAGCCUGCACCAGUAGAAGUUGUGUUCUAUAUCUCGGAAAUUCGGCUCCCUCCGGACGACCGAGCGCCGGACGUCCGACACCCGUCGGAAAUCCGAAACCUACCACCAGUAGAAGUUGAGUUCUAUAUCUCGGAAAUCCGGCUCCCUCCGGNNNNNNNNNNCCGAGGCCCGGAUGUCCGUCCAAGUCCCGGAAAUCCGGAAGCCUGCACCAGUAGAAGUUGAGUUCUAUAUCUCGGAAAUCCGGCUCCCUCCGGACGACCGAGCGCCGGACGUCCGACACUCGUCGGAAAUCCGGAACCUACCACCAGUAGAUGUUGAGCUGUAUAACACGGACUUCCGGGCCACUCCGGACGUCCGUAUGCUGAUGAAUUCAAAUAUGUUCAGGCACAUCUACAGGCCUCGGACGACCGACCCCCGUCGGACGUCCGGCCGCUGAUGAAUUCAGAAGAGUUCCAGUCAUGCCUAAAAGUCUCAGACGUCCGACCCCUGUGGGACGUCCGGCCCCUCACGGACGCCCGGACUUCCGACAACUGUCGGACGUCCGGACCCUGUGGGACUUAAAGUGUCCCCAACGGCUCUUUUUCUCUCAACACUAUAAAUACCCCCUCCCACUUCGUGAGAGGGCGGCCCAACACAGCCUUAUCCUCAUAAGAACACACUUCCACCUCACACACAUUUGCUCACUCCAAAUCUUAGAUACUAAGAGCAUUUGUGAGCCCCUUUGAGAGUUGUUCNNNNNNNNNNUUCUCCCUCUCCUUCUCUCAACCCAAGCUAUUUGUGAUUUGAGCAAGUUUUGAGCAUUCCCCGUGAUCUUGUUACUCUUGGAGGUUGGAGACUCCUAGGCGGUAGGAGUUCUUUGGAGAGUAAUCAAUCCAUGUGAUUUCCCCCAGAAAAGUUUGUGAGGGUUUGGAAGCCACCUCAAAGGCUUACCACUAGUGGUUGAGAAACACCUUCGUGGUGUUAUCUCAAAGGGAGAAUAGGGUGAGCCUUCGUGGCAUUGGUGUGCCUUCGUGGUAACAUCCACCUCUCUAACGGUGAGUAGCUUCCCUCCAAGGAAGUGAACAUCGGGAUACAUCUUCGUCUCAGUGACCUUGGUUAUCCUUAACCCUAACUCCUUACUNNNNNNNNNNNNNNNNNNNNNNNNNNNNNNNNNNNNNNNNNNNNNNNNNNNNNNNNNNNNNNNNNNNNNNNNNNNNNNNNNNNNNNNNNNNNNNNNNNNNCAUCAGUCCCUUUGACGUUAGUGGUGCAGAGUGAUGAUCAGCGAAUAAAAGUAUAUACUCAAGUAUGGAUCAUCGGUACCCCUUUUAUAAUUCUUGAGUCUUUAGGGAUCCCACACUAUUAAGAGGGGAUCACAGGUUUUGUGAUGAACUUGCUCAAACUAGAUAUCCACUGUUCUGCUCAUACCACAUCUCCACUGCUCUGCUGUUAUCAGAAAACAGGACCAGUGCCUCGGUCAUCCGGCCUCCUCCGGACGUCCGAGGGUCGGACGUCCGACCUGCUUAGGAAAUCCGGAAUCCUCUACGAGAGAAAUCAGAGCCAUAUAACUCGGACUUCCGGCUCCCUCCGGACGUCCGAGGGCCGUUCGUCCGACCAGCUUCGGAAAUCCGGAGCUUUGCACCAGAAGAACUUGAGCCAUAUAACUNNNNNNNNNNACAUCCGGCCUCCUCCGAACGUCCGAGGGCCAGACGUCCGACCUGCUUCGGAAAUCCGGAAUCCUUUACCAGAGAAAUCAGAGCCAUAUAACUCGGACUCCCGGCUCCCUCCGGACGUCCGAGGGCCGGUCGUCCGACCAACUUCGGAAAUCCGGAGCUUUGCACCAGAAGAACUUGAGCCAUAUAACUCAGACUUCCGGCUCCCUCCGGACGUUCGAGGGCCAGACGCCCGUCCCCUUUCGGAAAUGUGGAAUCUUGCACCAGAGAAGUUUGAGUCGAAUAACUCAGACUUCCGGCCUUCUCCGGACGUCCGGUCCUUGUUCAACUCCACAGUGGUUCCAGAUAUAUUUAUAGCCCUCGGACGACCGACCCCUGUCGGACGUCCGACUCCUUGUGGACGCCCGGACAUCCGUGAACUACCGGAUGUCUGACCCCUGUGUGACUUAAAGUGUCCCCAACGGCUGUUUUACUCUCCCCACUAUAUAUACCCCCUCCCACUUCGUGAGAGGGUGCCCAACACAACCAUAUCCUCAUAAGAACACAUUUCUACCUCACACACAUUUGCUUACAUCAAAUCUUAGAUCCCAAGAGCAUUUGUGAGCCCCUUUGAGAGUUGUUCCAAUCAAAAGAUAGAUCGUCUCCCUCUCCUUCUCUCAACCCAAGAAAUUUGAGAUUUGAGCAAGUUUUGAGCAUUCCCCGUGAUCUUGUUACUCUUGGAGGUUGGAGACUCCUAGGCAGUAGGAGUUCUUCGGAGAGUAAUCAAUCCGUGUGAUUACCCCCCGGAAAAGUUUGUGAGGGUUUGGAAGCCACCUCAAAGGCUUACCACUAGUGGUUGGGAAACGCAUUCGUGGUGUUAUCUCAAAGGGAGAAUAGGGUGAGCCUUCGUGGCGUUGGUGUGCCUUCGUGGUAACAUCCACCUCUCUAACGGUGACUAGCUNNNNNNNNNNCUAUUUGAGAUUUGAGCAAGUUUUGAGCAUUCCACGUGAUCCUGUUACUCUUGGAGGUUGGAGACUCAUAGGCGGUAGGAGUUCUUCGGAGAGGAAUCAAUCCGUGUGAUUACCCCCCGGAAAAGUUUGUGAGUGUUUGGAAGCCACCUCAAAGGCUUACCACUAGUGGUUGGGAAACGCCUUCGUGGUGUUAUCGCAAAGGGAGAAUAGGGUGAGCCUUCGUGGAGUUGGUGUGCCUUCGUGGUAACAUCCACCUCUCUAACGGUGACUAGCUNNNNNNNNNNNNNNNNNNNNNNNNNNNNNNNNNNNNNNNNNNNNNNNNNNNNNNNNNNNNNNNNNNNNNNNNNNNNNNNNNNNNNNNNNNNNNNNNNNNNGCAUAGCCUCUAUGGACACGAGCAUAUCUAGCACCACACAUAGUGUAAAUUAUUGUGCUGAUAGGUCAUGCAUUUCAUCUAAAGAUUCCUUGACAAAUGUCUGUGGUGAUAUGCCUGCUUCCUCGUGUCCUCUUGAUCAAAAUAUCUUGUUUCUCCCUAGUUGCUCUAUGACUAACCAUUUAGGGGAAAUCAAGAAAUAUGAAGUACUUUUGGCUAAUGAAGAAUCUGAUUCACCAAAAGAAUCAUCAUCAACUCCUCCAGUUCACAUGUGCCUCAUGGCAAGAGGUAAUAAUGAGGUAUCAUCUUCCCUGUGCAAUAACGAUGAUAUUUGCGAUGAGGAUGAUGAUGAUGACUUGACUGAAAAUAUCCAUGUGAUCAGUAAACAUCUUCAUAAAGCUAAAAAUAACGCUCUUCAAAGAUUCCAAGAUGUUCUUGCUUACUUUGAAAAUUGUAAUGAUUUACUUAAUCAUGAACAAGCUAAAAGUGAACAACUUGAACAUGAACUUGANNNNNNNNNNUAUGUGAUCAGUAAAAUUCUUCAUAAAGCUAAAAAUAACUCUCUUCAAAGGUUCCAAGAUGUUCUUGCUUAUUUUGAAAACUGUAAUGAUUCACUUAAUCAUGAACAAGCUAAAAGUGAACAACUUGAACAUGAACUUGAGAAGAGCCAUCAAGCAUGUAGAGACUUAAGAUCUUCAAAAGGAGAGAUUGAAGUUGCUCAUGAUAAACUUAAAAAGGAUUUUGAGGUCCUUCUCCUUGAAUGCAAGAAUCUCAAGGGAGAGCUCAUCAAAACCUCUAAGAUCUAUGAGGAGCUUCAAUCUACUCAUGAGAAGUCUCUAAUCGCUACUUACUCCUCUCAUAUUGUUGAUGAUACUUGUACAUCUAACCCUAUCUCUUUUGAAGUAUCAACAUUGAAGGAGAAUGUUGAGCUACGUGCUCAACUUAAUUUACUAACUAGCGAUUAUGGGAAAUUGGAAGAAAACCAUGUAAUGCUCACAAGCUCUCAUGCCGAUCUUCUAACAUCCCAUAAUGUGCAAAAGUUAGCUCAUGAGGCUAUCAUCACCAAGGUAACAUCAAGUGAGCCUCAUGUGGACAAUGGCACCACUUCUAAUCAAAGUACUAUAUUUCCAUGUGCUAGUCCUCGUAAUUCGUCUACUCANNNNNNNNNNNNNNNNNNNNNNNNNNNNNNNNNNNNNNNNNNNNNNNNNNNNNNNNNNNNNNNNNNNNNNNNNNNNNNNNNNNNNNNNNNNNNNNNNNNNCCCGGAACCCAUUCGUCAUUCCCGGUACAUUCCCGGUAACUCCGAAAACCUUCCGGUAAUCAAAUGGAGGUCAUCCAUAUAUCAAUCUUCGUUCCGGACCAUUCCGGAAACCCUCGUGACGUCCGUGAUCUCAUCCGGGACUCCGAACAACAUUCGGUAACCAACCAUAUAACUCAAAUACGCAUAAAACAACGUCGAACCUUAAGUGUGCAGACCCUGCGGGUUCGAGAACUAUGUAGACAUGACCCGAGAGACUCCUCGGUCAAUAUCCAAUAGCGGGACCUGGAUGCCCAUAUUGGAUCCUACAUAUUCUACGAAGAUCUUAUCGUUUGAACCUCAGUGUCAAGGAUUCAUAUAAUCCUGUAUGUCAUUCCCUUUGUCCUUCGGUAUGUUACUUGCCCGAGAUUCGAUCGUCAGUAUCCGCAUACCUAUUUCAAUCUCGUUUACUGGCAAGUCUCUUUACUCGUUCCGUAAUACAAGAUCCCGCAACUUACACUAAGUUACAUUGCUUGCAAGGCUUGUGUGUGAUGUUGUAUUACCGAGUGGGCCCCGAGAUACCUCUCCGUCACACGGAGUGACAAAUCCCAGUCUUGAUCCAUACUAACUCAACUAACACCUUCGGAGAUACCUGUAGAGCAUAUUUAUAGUCACCCAGUUACGUUGCGACGUUUGAUACACACAAAGCAUUCCUCCGGUGUCAGUGAGUUAUAUGAUCUCAUGGUCAUAGGAACAAAACAGUAGCAACAAAAUGACACGAUCAACAUGCUACGUCUAUUAGUUUGGGUCUAGUCCAUCACAUGAUUCUCCUAAUGAUGUGAUCCCGUUAUCACGUGACAACACUUGCCUAUGGCCAGGAAACCUUGACCAUCUUUGAUCAACGAGCUAGUCAACUAGAGGCUUACUAGGGACAGUGUUUUGUCUAUGUAUCCACACAAGUAUUGUGUUUCCAAUCAAUACAAUUAUAGCAUGGAUAAUAAACGAUUAUCAUGAACUAAGAAAUAUAAUAAUAACUAAUUUAUUAUUGCCUCUAGGGCAUAUUUCCAACAGUCUCCCACUUGCACUAGAGUCAAUAAUCUAGUUCACAUCACCAUGUGAUUCCAACGAAUCCAACACCCAUAUAGUUAUGGGGUCUGAUCACGUCUUGCUCGUGAGAGAGGUUUUAGUCAACGGUUCUGAAACUUUCAGAUCCGUGCGUUCUUUACAAAUCUUUAUGUCAUCUUAUAGAUGCUGCUACUACGUGCUAUUCGGAAAAGCUCCAAAUAUCUACUCUACUGUACGAAUCCGUUUCACUACUCAUAGUUAUUCGGAUUAGUGUCAAAGCUUGCAUCAACGUAACCCUUUACGACGAACUCUUUAACCACCUCCAUAAUUGAGAAAAAAUUCCUUAGUCCAUUAGUUACUAAGGAUAAAUUUUGACCGCUGCUAGUGAUUCAAUGAUGGAUCACUCUCUGUACCUCUCAACAGACUUUGAGUCAAGGCACACAGGGGAUAGGUACACAGCAUGGCAUACUUUAGAUUCUACGGCUAAGGCAUAGAAGACGACCUUUCGUCUAUUCUCUUUAUUCUGCCGUGGCGGGUUUUGAGUCUUACUCAAAUUCACACCUCACAACGCAACCAAGAACUCUUUCUUCGCUGAUCUAUUUUGAACUCCUUCAAAAACUUGUCAAGGCAUGCGAUUUUAUUGAAACUUUCAUUAAGCGCUUUUGAUCUAUCUCCAUAGAUCUUUGAUGCUCAACGUUCAAGUAGCGCAAUCCAGGUAUUCCUUUGAAAACUCCAUUCAAACAACCUUAUAUGCUUUACAGAGAUUCUACAUCACUUCUGAUCCACAAUAUGUCAACCACAUAUACUUAUCAGAAAUUCUAUAGUGCUCCCACUCACUUCUUUGGAAAUACAAGUUUCUCAUAAACCUUGUACACACCCAAAAUCUUUGAUCAUCUCAUCAAAGUGUAUAUUCCAACUCCGAGAUGCUUGCACCAGUCCAUUGAAGGAUCACUAGAGCUUGCAUACUUGCUAGUAUCUUUAGGAUCGACAAAACCUUCUGGUUGUAUCACAUACAAUGUUUGCUCAAGGAAACCGUCGAGGAAACAAUGUUUUGACAUCCUACGUGCAAUAUUUCAUAAAUAAUGCAUCAACAACUAACAUAAUUCUAACAGACUUUUAGCAUCGCUAUGAGUGAGAAAGUCUCAUCAUAGUCAACUGUUUGAUCUUGUCGAAAACAUCUUUGCGACAAGUCGAGCUUUUCUUAAUAGUGAUUUAUCACCAUCAUCGUCUGUUUUCCUUUAAAGAUUCAUCUUUACUCAAUAGUCCUCUGACCAUCAAGUAGUUCUUCCAAAGUCUACACUUUGUUUUCAUACAUGGAUUCUCUCUCGGAUUUCAUGGCUUCCAGCCAUUUGUCGGAAUCCGGGCCCACCAUCGCUAUCUCCAUAACUCGUAGGUUCACUGUUGCUCGACAACGUGACCUCCAAGACAGGGUUACCGUACCACUCUGUAGUAGUACGCGACCUUGUCAACCUACGAGACUUGUAGUAACUUGAUCCGAUGCUCGAUGAUCACCAUCAUCAGCUUCCACUUCAAUUGGUGUAGGCGCCACAGGAACAACUUCCUGCACCCUGCUACACACUGGUUGAAGUGAUGGUUCAAUAACCUCAUCAAGUUCUACUACCCUCCCACUCAAUUCUUUCGAGAGAAACCUUUCCUCGAGAAAGGAUCCGUUUCUAGAAACAAACACUUUGCUUUCGGAUCUGAGAUAGGAGAUGUACCCAACUGUUUUGGAUAUCCUAUGAAGAUGCAUUUANNNNNNNNNNNNNNNNNNNNNNNNNNNNNNNNNNNNNNNNNNNNNNNNNNNNNNNNNNNNNNNNNNNNNNNNNNNNNNNNNNNNNNNNNNNNNNNNNNNNACGUACAGUUCGACGAUGAUCUCGGCCUUCUUGAUCCAGCAAGAGAGACGGAGAGGUAGAAGAGUUCUCCGGCAGCGUGACGGCGCUCCGGAGGUUGGUGAUGAUCUCGUCUCAGCAGGGCUCCGCCCGAGCUCCGCAGAAACGCGAUCUAGAGGAAAAACUAUGGAGGUAUGUGGUCGGGCAGCCGUGAGAAAGUCGUCUCAAAUCUGCCCUAAAAGCCCCAUAUAUAUAGGAGGAGGGAGGGGGACCUUGCCUUGGGGUCCAAGGAACCCUCAAGGGGUCGGCCGAGCCAAGGGGGGAGGACUCCCCCCCCCAAACCGAGUUGGACUUGGUUUGGUGGGAGGAGUCCCCCUCCCUUCCCACUUCCUCCCUCUUUUUUUUCUUUUCCUUUGAUUUCCUUCUCUUGGCGCAUAGGCCCCCUUGGGGCUGUCCCACCAGCCCACUAAGGGCUGGUGUGUCUCCCCRAAGCCUAUGGGCUUCCCCGGGGUGGGUUCCCCCCCCCCCCCCGGUGAACUCCCGGAACCCAUUCGUCAUUCCCGGUACAUUCCCGGUAACUCCGAAAACCUUCCGGUAAUCAAAUGAGGUCAUCCUAUAUAUCAAUCUUCGUUUCCGGACCAUUCCGGAAACCCUCGUGACGUCCGUGAUCUCAUCCGGGACUCCGAACAACAUUCGGUAACCAACCAUAUAACUCAAAUACGCAUAAAACAACUGUCGAACCUUAAGUGUGCAGACCCUGCGGGUUCGAGAACUAUGUAGACAUGACCCGAGAGACUCCUCGGUCAAUAUCCAAUAGCGGGACCUGGAUGCCCAUAUUGGAUCCUACAUAUUCUACGAAGAUCUUAUCGUUUGAACCUCAGUGCCAAGGAUUCAUAUAAUCCUGUAUGUCAUUCCCUUUGUCCUUCGGUAUGUUACUUGCCCGAGAUUCGAUCGUCAGUAUCCGCAUACCUAUUUCAAUCUCGUUUACUGGCAAGUCUCUUUACUCGUUCCGUAAUACAAGAUCCCGCAACUUACACUAAGUUACAUUGCUUGCAAUUCUUGUGUGUGAUGUUGUAUUACCGAGUGGGCCCCGAGAUACCUCUCCGUCACACGGAGUGACAAAUCCCAGUCUUGAUCCAUACUAACUCAACUAACACCUUCGGAGAUACCUGUAGAGCAUCUUUAUAGUCACCCAGUUACGUUGCGACGUUUGAUACACACAAAGCAUUCCUCCGGUGUCAGUGAGUUAUAUGAUCUCAUGGUCAUAGGAAUAAAUACUUGACACGCAGAAAACAGUAGCAACAAAAUGACACGAUCAACAUGCUACGUCUAUUAGUUUGGGUCUAGUCCAUCACAUGAUUCUCCUAAUGAUGUGAUCCCGUUAUCACGUGACAACACUUGUCUAUGGCCAGGAAACCUUGACCAUCUUUGAUCAACGAGCUAGUCAACUAGAGGCUUACUAGGGACAGUGUUUUGUCUAUGUAUCCACACAAGUAUUGUGUUUCCAAUCAAUACAAUUAUAGCAUGGAUAAUAAACGAUUAUCAUGAACUAAGAAAUAUAAUAAUAACUAAUUUAUUAUUGCCUCUAGGGCAUAUUUCCAACACCAACAUAAGAGGGUGUUGCGUCAGAUGGAGGAGCGCGCCCGCGCUGUGCCAUCGUCGCCACCAGCAUCCAUGGGCGGCUCCGCCCAAAACAGCGGUAAACCCCGUCGUCUAUGCCCGCGUGCUGCUUUCGGAGGAUGUCGCCACCUCCAGCAAAAGAGGAUGUUGCGCCUGGAGGAGCGUCCGUGCUGCGCCACCGCCACCAUCAGCACUGCCCGCGCCGACGCAACCCGACCUCAUCACUAACGACGAGGACGCUAGGGUGUUUAUUUUUUGUUUAAUUAUAAUGUAAUUUGAACGCGUGGACGCUCGCCGGCCUCCGUGGCCGGCUUUUAAUGUUUAAUUAAUUAAUGUUUAUUAUUUUUAAAAAUGCUUUUUUGAUGCGCCGGUAAAAAAAAAAGUUUGGCCGGCGUUAGACGCAUACGCCGACCCAAACAUGGAAAGGGACGUUGGUGUCCACCGAGCCGAUCCAUUAUUGGUUUGCCCACUGCCCAGCGCCAUUGCUCCUUUUCCUCAGCCACCAAACACCAAUCGCUCAGCUGCUUUUCUCUUUAGCCAACCUAGCUAGCUUCUUCACCGGAUCCGGAGAGCAGAGCAGAUCCAGAGAGAGCAGAGCGGGCGGCGGGGAGAGAGAUGGCGGGGGUGAGCGUUGGGACGGGGGCGAUGAAUUCCCUCCUCGGCAAGCUCACCGCCCUGCUCGGCGACGAGUACAAUCUGCUCAAGAGGGUCCGCAAGGAGAUCGAGUUCCUCAAGCGCGAGCUCGGCAGGAUGCAGGUCCUGCUGGAGAAACUGGCAGACAUGGAGGCGAGGCUCGACGGCCUUGGCAAGAGCUGGGGGGACAGCGUGCGCGACCUCAGCUACGACAUGGAAGACUGCAUCGACCGCUUCAUGGACCGGCUUGGCAGAGACGACGCCAAGCCAAAGUUCAUGAAGAGGACGGCGCGCCGGCUCAAGACUCUAUGGGCGCGCCAUGACAUCGCGACCCAGAUCAAGGAGCUCAAGGCUCGCGUCAUGGAGGAAAGCGAGCGUCGUGACAGGUACAAGCUUCCUACGUAUUCUUGCAUCUGUAUUCUGGAUGAUGCAGCAUGGGAUUAAUUAAGUCUUGUUUGUCCAAAAAAUGAUACUAGGUACAAGCUUGAUGAGAGCUACUAUAGUGCAACGAGGCCGGUGCAGAUCGACCCGCGGAUAACUGCGAUCCACGAGGAGGUCAAGGGCUUGGUGGCAAUGGACGGCCCAAUGAAGCACCUCGCUGCCUUGCUGAUGGAUGAGAGUAAGGAGUUGAAAGUGGUGCCGAUUGUCGGAUCAGGAGGGUUGGGGAAGACAACCCUAGCCAUGGAGGUCUAUCGCAAGAUUGAAUCAGGAGGGAACUUCCAAUGCCAAGCUUGUGUGUCAGUGUCACGCACACUUGAUCUGGUGAAGCUCCUGAAAGAUAUCUUGUCUCAAAUUGAUAAAGAUGCGUACAAAGAAUGUCAGAGUUGGGAAAAGGAACAACUAAUCCGUGAAAUCAAACAGAUCUUGACAGGAAAGAGGUGCGGAGUAUAUAGAUGGUUUAUUUUGUUUUACUAUGCCUCCUCUGUAUACAAGCACCUAGCAUUAACUGAUUCAUAUAUUUGGAUGACAGGAACAAGUAUUAUUAUUUUAAGUUACCAAGGCUAGAUCAAAUGGUUAUCUCUAGCCGUAUUGAGUAUGUUUAGUUUCUUGAACAUCUAGGCUUUCUUUCACACACAAAAAAAACAUCUAGAUUUUUUCGCAUUACCUCAAACAUUUUUUUUGAUAACCUUUUUUCGAGAAAACGCAAAAGAAUUUGCGUUUCAUUGCAUUGAACAGGAAGAAGACAUCGGGGAUACAACCUCCAGAAAGGAAGGACACACACAGACACACACACGCACACACACACACGACCGUCCUCACCAAGCGACUACAACUAGGUAAGGAGGUGCCCUCAGCUACAGACACACAACGAUAUUAGGCCUCGCCCUGCCGCCAUUGCAAGACACCUCUAGGAACAAUUGCAGCUCCAGGACUGCCCAGGCCAACGUACCUCACACCCAUGUGCCUAGGAUCGGCGGGUGAAAGGCAGGGCCUGAUUGGAACUGGUGUAGCAAUCGUUGGGGGAGGGCCGGCGCUGGCAAACAACCUGCUCCCUGUUCAGCCGUCUACGCCAACGGUGCAUCACCAGCCACCAUCUGCCGCAUCAAGUACUCCGCUUGCAGCCAAAGCAGCGCCCUCAAGAGGGUAACGGCGUUGAGACGCCGCCGCUGCCCGGUCCAGGAGGCCGGACCUAGGAUUUCUCUCGGUGCUCGAGGAGGAGGUCCGGUCAAGGGUCAUGCCAACGCCUCCAAGGAGGUGACGGCACCCUCGGGUGUCGCCGUUGACAGCGCAGGCCGACGCUGCGCGGGGAUUUCGCCCCGACCCAUGAGCAAGGACCUCAGAUGCAGAUGCAGACCGGACAUGACGAAGAACGUUGGAGAAGAUGGAAGCACAUGGAGCGGGAAGCCUAGGAACGUCGGUAGUCGCAGGUUUGGGCACGGCCAGCGCAGCGCCAGCAGGCCGGCCACCACCGGGAGCGCGUCCAGCAGGCGACAACAAUCACCUGCACCGCGCCGGCCCGCAGCCUCCGCCGCCGGGAUUCGCCGUGGCACAGCAUCGCAGCAACCGUCAGGGUCACCGUGCGCGUGCACAACCCAGCGGCAACCACCGGCGGCGGCUGGGAGGGGUGGGAGGAGGGAGAAGGGUGGGUGGGGGGCAGAGUGGUUGACUCGGGCCAAGGCGGGCCCGCACGGCCCAGAUCUGGGCGCCCCCAGCUCUACCGCUCGCUGCAGCGGCCGGCAGCCGCCGUAGCAGCGCCUCCGCGCACACGCACCGCGCCAUCUCGACCUCUCCUGCUGUUAAUGACAAAUCCUCACUUAUCUUAGCYUCUAUUAGUUUGAUUGAUGCAAGAAAGUUCCUCCCUCCCAUCCAUAUUAAUUGUCAUUGAUUUAGUACAAAGUUAAUACUAAAUCAGCGACAAUUAAUAUGGAUCGGAUGGAGUACCAAAAUUUAAAUAGGAAAUAUUUAUGUAUCUAUUUGCAUAUAUCAAAUCAAGUUCUAGCAAAAGUCAUCUCAAUAAUGUUCGUGCUUAACAAUACACAAUCUUGAGUGCAGGUACUUCAUUGUUAUCGAUGAUGUAUGGAAAGAACAAGACUGGAAAUUGGUCAAGGCAGCAUUUCCUGAGAAUAAUAAUGGUAGCAGAAUAAUUGCUACGACACGCAUUACCGGUGUAGCUAAUCAGUGUUGUUCCAACUCCGUCAGUCAACCCUAUCAAAUGGAACCUCUAGAUGAUGUUGAUUCUCGAAGAUUGUUCUUUAAGAGAAUAUUCCGGAUGGAUGAUCCCUGCCCUGUUGAACUGGAAGAAAUUUCAACUAAGAUCUUACAAAAAUGUGGUGGUCUUCCACUAGCUAUAAUUACAUUUGCAAGUUUGCUUGCCAAUAAAACGCAUAAGAAGGAAGAAUGGGAGAGACUGCAAGAAUCCAUUGGUACUGGUCCUUCGUUUGAUAGUGAUGGGAACUUAAAAGGGAUGAAAGAUAUACUGUUACUUAGUUACUGGGAUCUUCCACACCACCUGAAGACUUGUUUAUUAUAUUUGUGUAUAUAUCCAGAGGACUCCAUGAUCGAUACUAAACUGCUGAAAUGGAAAUGGAUAGCAGAAGGAUUCAUUGCUUCACAAUGGGGAAGUUUGGAUCAAGUAGCAGAGAACUGUUUUAAUGAACUCGUUAAUAGAAAUAUGAUUCAGCCAGUUUAUGGUAAUGAUUACAGUUCGGUGAAAUAUUGUAGGGUCCAUGAUAUGGUGCUUGACCUUAUCAUAUCCUUAUCAGAUGAAGAGAAUUUUGCCACUGUUUUAAAUGGGCGUAUAUGNNNNNNNNNNNNNNNNNNNNNNNNNNNNNNNNNNNNNNNNNNNNNNNNNNNNNNNNNNNNNNNNNNNNNNNNNNNNNNNNNNNNNNNNNNNNNNNNNNNNCCUCGAUAAAGUUGGCUUUGCCAAGGGUUCAUGCCGAACACCCUUAGCUGAAAACUACACUCGACAAACUCUAUGUUGAGUGGGAAACGACUUCUGUCGAGUUUUUCUGAUAUUCAGGAAAUUCGAAAUAUUCAGUAUUCAUUGUUGGAAUUUUGAUGGAAAUAGUUGGCACCCAUGCAAGUUGUUCACAAAACAGGGUUGUUCAUGCCCUUACUGCUAAUGGUAAAUGUACUCCUCGCGCUACGGUGUAUGCCAGACUCUCAUCCUUUAAGAAAUAAAGUCUCUUUUCCCUAGAAAAAAAUAAAUAAAUGUGUAAGAGCUAAUAAGAGCACCUGUUGUUGUCAGGCAGAGUGUUUAUGCAAGGCACACAGGGGGUAGACGAUGUCUUUUUUUUUUCUAACUUAGAAGCUGUGUUUAAUUAUCCAAUGAUUUAACACGCUACCUCUCAACCCUUCUUUUCACAUGAAAGAUAAGAAGUAAAAAUUAAUCAGACCACUAACUUAAUCAAACCAGUGGCUUUUAUGCAGCGCGCGCAAACAGAUUGUUCUUUUACCGGAGCUGGCCGAAACUUAUGAGUUCUUGAUCCAACGGUAACACCUUACGUGUGAUUAAUAGUCGAAUGAUCCUGACAGCUGCGCGUGCCGGACUGUCAGUGGAAGUAAACUAAUGCACCGCCCCAUGCUUUCUUGCAUUGCUUUAGUACUCCAAAUGUUAAUUAAACCCGACACAGACACGUUACUCUAAGCCGCAUCUGAGACUAAUUUUCUCUCCUCCCAUUCCCAACUCCCAAGGUCGCAUCUGAGCCUUAGCUUAGUGCCCAGCGCCAUUGCUUCUCCNNNNNNNNNNNNNNNNNNNNNNNNNNNNNNNNNNNNNNNNNNNNNNNNNNNNNNNNNNNNNNNNNNNNNNNNNNNNNNNNNNNNNNNNNNNNNNNNNNNNUACUGAUAGAGCAAAUAGAUAAGAAAAGGGGGGGGGGGGGGGGCUGGGGGACAUAGUAUUCCUACAGACUUGACCAAUACUCGAACAGUCUGAUUUACUUUCCUAUUUGGACCAUACUCUUUCUCAAUCGAAAAUGUAUGUACUAAUAGCUUGAUUGCUGAUAGUUAAAACACAACGCCAUUGUGGUCCUCUCUUUUUUAUGCGUUACCAUUUGUUUCUUCCAUAGAGAAGUUUUAACUCCUAAAAUUGGCUCAGUUUAGGUUCUAAUCUCAGACUAUACCAGAAAAGACAGUCCCGACUGCUGAAAUAGUACUUCAUUUUACCCCGACCCAAACCACAACUGUUUUAUGAACGUCACUCCUUUCUAUGGACAAAGGUUUUUUAUUCUAAACAUGUCCUCAAGGUGAUGCAACCAAUCGAUUAGAAUUCAGACCUUAACGUCAACAUCAGAUUCAAAUCAGGCAGUUUUCUCUCGUCUGGAUAGCUGCGUGUGCGAUCAGUGGCGAAUCUAGUAGGGGGGCUUCGACAGGUUCGAGCCCCCCUUCAAAAAAUUGGAAAAAGAAAAUUUACUACUGUACUAUAAAUUUUGUUGACCUUAUUUAGACAAAAAAAAUCAAGGGUUUUUUACUUUUUAGAUACAUAUUUGACUUUGAACCUUCCCUUCAUUUUCUUCCAACAUUCGGCACUGUGUGCGACAACACAUGAGUGAGCAAAGCUGCAGGGCUCCAUGUACACGUAGGAUAGAGAACAUAGGAUACGUGGAGAAAAUACGGGUCCCACAAAAAAAAUAGAUGACAUGUAGCCAUGACAUCGCAUGAAACAUUAUGGUUGUCAAUAGUUGAUGUUUGUGUUUUUAGUGGUAGUAUUGUGGUUUCAGAUUGAAACUCAAGCCUAACACUAGUCUAGCGGGGGGUAAAGUAAACUUAAUUUCUUUCUUCUAUGAAUAACAAGUUAUAUAAUCCCUCGAUGUGCUUCAUAUACUUUUGUUUUCAUUUACACUGGGGAAGCAAUGAGUUAGUACCUCUAUUAGUUUGAUUGAUGCAAGAAAGUUCCUCCCUCCCAUCCAUAUUAAUUGUCAUUGAUUUAGUACAAAGUUAAUACUAAAUCAGCGACAAUUAAUAUGGAUCGGAUGGAGUACCAAAAUUUAAAUAGGAAAUAUUUAUGUAUCUAUUUGCAUAUAUCAAAUCAAGUUCUAGCAAAAGUCAUCUCAAUAAUGUUCGUGCUUAACAAUACACAAUCUUGAGUGCAGGUACUUCAUUGUUAUCGAUGAUGUAUGGAAAGAACAAGACUGGAAAUUGGUCAAGGCAGCAUUUCCUGAGAAUAAUAAUGGUAGCAGAAUAAUUGCUACGACACGCAUUACCGGUGUAGCUAAUCAGUGUUGUUCCAACUCCGUCAGUCANNNNNNNNNNNNNNNNNNNNNNNNNNNNNNNNNNNNNNNNNNNNNNNNNNNNNNNNNNNNNNNNNNNNNNNNNNNNNNNNNNNNNNNNNNNNNNNNNNNNGUUCAGGGUGAGCGGGUACGUCCUAGGAACGGUAGCUUGGAUGGUUAGGGAUUUUGGGUAAGUUUCACUUUUUCUAACGUACUUGUUAAUUUCAGUAGAUUCUAGUAUUAAUGCCUACUUUGAUUAGUCAUUCUGCUGCAGUAGCCAUCUUGUAUUGUAUUUUGAAAAAUCCAUCUUGUAUUGUAGCCAUUUUGUACUGUAACACUUCUCUUGUCUUUUUUCGGUAGGCAAACUUGCAUCUGUUUUUCCUUUGCUUGGCAAAUAGAUACACCUGCAUCUUUGAGUCGCUUCAUGGCUGUAAUCAAGUCCUAUCCUAAGUUUCACGGUUGGCAAGGAAGUGGCUAAUACCUUAAACCUGUCUCCAGACACAGAAGCAACUGCGGCAGCAAGGAAUAAAGACGUUGUAGCUUCUAAUCCUACCAUUCGAAAUGGCACAAUUUUGCCAAACCAAUGCUUUCCAGCUCCGGUCAUUAAACCCAGUGUUACCAAUGUUGCUAAUUCGAGAGCAAUAGGCACACCGGUGUCUCCAUUGCCAGGUGUUAUGGCUCCAAUUCAUACCGGAAUAUCAACUGAAUUAUCAUCUAAGGUAUAUUCAUCUAUUGUUGUUUAGAUCCGAUAGAAAAUCUUGAUUAUGACUGUAUUUUGCACCCAACAAACCCAAUUCCUAGUGUUUCUUGUGAGGUUGUAAUUAUUGUUAUUACUACAACAGUAUGUGUUAAGACCAUUUCUGGUUACAGAGAUUGAUUUUUUUUUUUAAUUUCUCCAUGUCAGGAUGAGAGGGAAGUAAAGCGUGAAAAGAGAAAGCAAUCAAAUAGGGAAUCUGCUAGACGGUCGAGGCUGAGAAAGCAGGUAUAUUGUGUUGGCCUCCUUUUCCUAUUAACUCAUAGGCUCUCUUGUAUGUACUCUUUGAUAAAUGUGUUGCAAUGUAGCAAUAUCCGAUCCUCGAAAAGGGAAAGCAGUAUCUGGAAACAUGGACAUGAAGCCGAAUUGAAUUUUCUCCCAUAUUUAUUUGCAUCUUAGUACAGUGAUACUGGGACGCAGUACGCCAAUUGAUAUUUGUGUCCUCUUUGUGUAGGCCGAGACAGAGGAGUUGGCUACACAAGUAGAAUCGCUUACAGCUGAGAACACAUCUCUAAAAUCUGAGAUCGGCAAGCUAGCAAAAAGCUCUGAGAAGCUCAGAUUAGANNNNNNNNNNNNNNNNNNNNNNNNNNNNNNNNNNNNNNNNNNNNNNNNNNNNNNNNNNNNNNNNNNNNNNNNNNNNNNNNNNNNNNNNNNNNNNNNNNNNGCGUUGCGUGCGGCCCGACGCUCGGCCGUCGGUUUCGGUGUCGGAGGCCGUGCUCUCGGUGAUGGCAGAUACUAUUAGGUAGUACUAGGUUAGCUAAGUUUUUUUUACCCGACAAAAAAAAAAAAAUAGUUAGUAUUAGUAGCAUUUAAUAGAGGUAUGUAUGUAUACAGGCAAGGGCCGCCGGCCGUUCGAGAUUGGUUGGGGGAAUCAACCUGCUGCGUUAGUAUUAGGCUGUGCGGUUGCAAGCAGACCCGACAGUGCUGCUGCUUCUUCUCUGGGUUGUUCCGUGCGCGCUUGAAACUGGGGGAGUGGUCUCAUCUCAUCGCUUAUUUGUCCUUGUUGUUUUCUGUAGGAUUUUCUGGACUUCUUUUGCAUUGUCGAUCCUACGUCCCAUCGUGCCUUAUCCGUCGAGCUUCUUUUGUCGUCGGUUGUCGUGGACUAUGAUUUUCUGCACAAUGCUUUAUUCUCUUGAUGUGCCAUCUUAUUUUGACAAUCCAUCUUCUCCUGAAACUUAUGUUGUAUCUUCAAGUGAUGCGGUGUCUUUCUUUGAUGUGCCAUCUUCUUUUGACAACCCAUCUUCUCUUGAUACUUAUCUUGUAUCUUCAAGUGAUGCGGUGUCUACCUCUGAUGUGCCAUCUCUUCGUUCUCUCCUUCGGCGACUCGACAAAUUUUGAAGACUCUUCAUGCUACGACGACACUCUCAAGACGCGGAUUUGGAUUAUCAUUGUUUUUUAGUAUUACACUUCUUCAAAUGCAAUGCUAUUGCAUGCGCUUUGCAUUUGAGGGGGGUGUUAGAAAGUAUUAGUAUUAGUCUAGGAGUCCUUAUUAGUCUAUGUUUACUUUCCUUGCACCUCAAGUCAUGUAUAAUAUAUAUAUGCCCCUUGAGCCUUGAAUACAGAUAAGUUGCUUUCUUAACAUGGAACAUUUUUUUUCUGCAAGCGUUGGAGGUUCUCUUUCUUCCAUUCCACCGACGCCGUGCAGCAAAAAGUUACGAAGAAGAUGAAGCAUACCUGAUGGAAGCACUAUCAGGGACUUUUGCUCCCACGCAGUUGCAAUUAUCUGCAAUGGACUUGCAUGUAUUAUUACUGACGGGCCUCCUUGAUUAUUUCACCAAUAAAGUACAAUUAUCUAAUCAUGUGUGCACGGGAUUGGCUUAUACUUUUCUUAUGGUACAGUACUAGAUCUUAUGAUGAAGCCAGUUUCACAUGUACUGGUAUCGUGAUGAGCAGAAGUUUUAUUCUCUAAUAUUUGUGUCUUACUAGUAUUCGGAUGAGCAAAAGAUUAAAAUCAAACUUGCGUAUGUAGAAGGCAGGCGCUUGAUUGUUGCUUGUAUCUGUGUGGUUUCUUGGUUUACAUGUUGACUCUCUCCUGCUCAAUGUCAUUGUAAGCUGGGACCAUCUUAGGCUACAGCUGAUAUAUUUUUGUUUUUUGCUAUAAUGAAAAAACACGGCCGUGUAUUUUUUUGUUUGAGAAUAUAUAGUAUGAAAUUUAUUUCUUUGCGUGCGAUUGAUUACGGCUUCUCAGCAGGUCAUUAAGCUCGCUCAAGUCAGACUGACAAGCGUAACAUCUUCAGCCAUGUUUUAUUUAUUUAAUUAAGAAGGUUUGGUUGCUUUAGUAAAUUCAUUUCUUUCACCCAUUUGAAAUUUGAUAUCUUGCACAUUUGCAUUUACUGUUACUUCAUUUAUUCUCGUGAAAGGGAAAGUAAGCAAAGUUUAAAUUCUAUUUUCCUGUGUACAUUUAGGUGACGUUAAAAGGUAUACUCUGUUUUUAUUGAUUGAUGUCCAUUUGUUUAAUGGACACAUAAAGAUUGCACAUAUAUACUACCUCUGUAAAGUAAUAUAAGAUGUUUUAGAUCACUAAAUAUAUUACUUUACGGAGGGAGUACUAUUAUUGAGUCCUUUGCACAAACAUUUGGCCUGGAUUUUUACACAUUCCGUAACUAGUCACAGGGAACGGCAGUGGGUAGCAUCGGCAGUCACAGUCACAGGGGUGCUGCAUCAUGUUCAGUCGCGGUGCAUUGUUGUGCUGACUGUUGUGCGCCUCCUCCAUUGUCGCCCUGGGAUUAUUCCAACUCUUACGAACAGCGAGGGACCUGGUAAAUACUGAGCAAGUAACCAAUCCAAUCAAUGGGACAAUGUGCUGCGCUGAGCAACUAACCAAUCCAAUCUAGGGACAAAUGCCAAGAAGCUCAUGCGGCUCUGAUCGAUUGGAUGGCAGCCUACCCGCUCUCGGUGCAGGGGCAGAGUUCGACGAAAUUCAGCUGAGAUCACAUCUUGAUGCUGCUCUCUACAAGAGUACAUCACCUAGAUUUUGGUCGAGACCACAAGAAUGUGCAGCCACAGAUCGGCACCAAUGUUUGAUUAUGUCAACUUACCACAAGAUUGCAUUGAUCGAUUUCCCUGAGUGAAUAACCCAAGUUUGUCAGUCACAGGCGGCGCAACGGCAUGAUGACUCUGAACUUUUCCAAAACCAAAUGAUACAUAGCACUGAACUUUUGCCAACCAACACGUAUACUACACACGAUGGGCACCAAUGUCUGAAUUUUGACGGGGUUCAACUUACCACAAGAAUUCCAUUGAUUCGAUUUACCCUGAACUGAAUAACCCAAGUAUCCCGAAUGUAUCGACGCAACUAAAUGAAUAGACAGAGAACUAGAUAAACUCUGUAACGUUUUACCAAAAAACCUAAAAUCGACUACAUAGNNNNNNNNNNNNNNNNNNNNNNNNNNNNNNNNNNNNNNNNNNNNNNNNNNNNNNNNNNNNNNNNNNNNNNNNNNNNNNNNNNNNNNNNNNNNNNNNNNNNAUGAGAUCGUCGAGGUUCCGUCUGCUGNUCCCGGCCAGACGCGUAUCCCCCGCCAGCGCUCGUCGGCCGGCGACUCGGGCGGGAUAGGCGUCUCCCGGCCGCGUGCGGUUCCACGGGGUCGGCCGCCGCCGCCGCCGCCGCCGCCGCCAUGGCUUGCAACAGGCAGCAGCGGUAGGGCAGUGUGGGGGAUUGCGAACGUCGAGGGAGACGGAGGGCAUAAAAGGGAAGGCCCAGCCCAUUCCUCUCAUUCGCAAUGGACGAGCCAUUUUCACCAUGGCCCAGCCACUGUGGUGUUGGCCCAUACUUGUUUUUUCUUUUUUGGUUUGUGUAGUUCAGAAUUUUUUCUUUGAAUGAAAGGAGUUUUCUCCCUGCCCCAUUUUGUUAAAAUGAAGCAACAUUGUCUUACAUACCCUUAAAAGCCACUAAAGAAGAACUAAACAAAUCAUAGCCUUUCAAAAGGCCAGCACUUGAAAGGUUAAAAACAAACAAACCACAAACUGGUAAGAAACUAUGGAGCACCGACACAUAAGGAGCCUUAUAAUGCUUUUAUUACAGACCAAAGAAGGAAAAACGAGAGAUGACUACUCGGCUCCCCGAUGGUCUCCCAGCAUCAUCUCCACGCGAUCUGAAGCAACUCUCCACGCCUCUUGUUUUGCAGCCUGAUAUAGUCUCGCAGAAGAACUGCCUCAGCAUCAGUGAAUAGUAUUUUCCAUUGAUUCAGGUAAACGUCCAGCUUGGCAAGAAUGCAUUUUACACUUCUCCAAGAUCGGCCCUGAAAGCAAAAUUCAUUCCUCAGUUUCCAAAUGCUCCACAAGGAGGCAACAAUCAUCAUGUUUAGUACAACAUUAGUCUUAGGACUACCCCACAACAAAAUAACAUCAUCAAAGCUUGAAAUUUCUGGCUUGUUAAACACCUCAGUGAUAAAUCCCCAAGGUUGUUUAGCAACCCAACAGUCAAAGAACAGGUGUUGCAUUGAUUCUUUACAGCUACAAAAGAUACAAGUAGGAUCUUCCAUCGGUCUACGUUUUUCAACGUUAUCUCUAGUUAAAACUUUAUUAUAUACACACAACCAUCAAAAAUAUGUAUUUUUUGUGGACAGACCACCUUCCAAAGACUAUCACUAAUGGUAGAUACCACACCCCCAAAAUUAAUUUGCUUAUAGAAAGACUUAACCGAGUAAAUGCCAUUCGACUCCAGUUUUUAGACAGGAGAAUCAGGUUCUCUUGAGAGAGGGGUUUGUUUCACCACCUCAACAAGUUGAUCCCAAAGUGUUAACCUUCCCUAAUCCAGACAUCUUUGGAAUGUCAGUCUGAGGACCAUCCCAUCCCAAACUUGAUCCACUGUACAAUCUGUCUGAUUACAGAUUUUGAUUAAUUUCCAAAAUUGUAUCUUAAAGGAACAUUCUCGAGCCCACACAUCAUGCCAAAAAGUAAUCUAUUCCCCAUUCCCCAUCUUCCACUUAUAAAAUACUUCUGCUCCAGAUAGAGUCGAGGUGAUGCUCUUCCAAAAGGUUGAGCCAUGCAUUCCCACCACCACACCAAAGAAUAUUUGAAGAAUUAACAUUGUAUUUAUGACUGACAUUUUUUUCCAAUCUCUAGCCGACUCGUCCAUGAAUCGUUUCCCCCAUGAGGCCAACAAAGCCAUAUUAAACUCCUUGACGUUAGGAAGCUGUAACCCUCCAAAUUCUUUCUUUCUAAGAUUUGCCCCCACCUGGCCAAGUGAUAUUUGUGUUUGUCAUCCAAAUNNNNNNNNNNNNNNNNNNNNNNNNNNNNNNNNNNNNNNNNNNNNNNNNNNNNNNNNNNNNNNNNNNNNNNNNNNNNNNNNNNNNNNNNNNNNNNNNNNNNGUAGCAAUGAAUCCUUCUGCUAUCCAUUUCCAUUUCAGCAGUUUAAUCUUGAUCAUGGAGUCCUCUGGAUAUAUACACAAGUAUAAUAAACAAGUCUUCAGGUGGUGUGGAAGAUCCCAGUAACUAAGUAACAAUAUAUCUUUCAUCCCUUUUAAGUUCCCAUCACUAUCAAACGAAGGACCAGUACCAAUGGAUUCUUGCAGUCUCUCCCAUUCUUCCUUCUUAUGCGUUUUAUUGGCAAGCAAACUUGCAAAUGUAAUUAUAGCUAGUGGAAGACCACCACAUUUUUGUAAGAUCUUAGUUGAAAUUUCUUCCAGUUCAACAGGGCAGGGAUCAUCCAUCCGGAAUAUUCUCUUAAAGAACAAUCUUCGAGAAUCAACAUCAUCUAGAGGUUCCAUUUGAUAGGGUUGACUGACGGAGUUGGAACAACACUGAUUAGCUACACCGGUAAUGCGUGUCGUAGCAAUUAUUCUGCUACCAUUAUUAUUCUCAGGAAAUGCUGCCUUGACCAAUUUCCAGUCUUGUUCUUUCCAUACAUCAUCGAUAACAAUGAAGUACCUGCACUCAAGAUUGUGUAUUGUUAAGCACGAACAUUAUUGAGAUGACUUUUGCUAGAACUUGAUUUGAUAUAUGCAAAUAGAUACAUAAAUACUUCCUAUUUACAUUUUGGUACUCCAUCCGAUCCAUAUUAAUUUCCUAUUUAAGCUAGUGUGAGGCUUGAGUUUCAAUCUUCAACCCCAAUACUACCACUAAAAACACAAACAUCAACUAUUGACAAUCAUAAUGUUUCAUGUGAUGUCAUGGCUACAUGUCWAUCUUUUUUUUUUGUGGGACCCAUAUUUUGUCCAUGUAUCCUUUAUUUUCUAUUGUCCUAUGUGUACACGGAGCCCUGCCGCCUUGCCCACUCAUGUAUUGUCGCACACGCAGCUAUCCAGACAAGAGAAAAUUGCCCUGAUUUGAAUCUGAUGUAUCCCCCAGCCACCCCCCCCCCCCUUAUUUAUUUGCUCUAUCAUUAGUUCAUUACAUGGAGGGUUGAACUGAAGUGAACUUUUUUUAUGUUUGCAUGUUUAUAUGAAGCUAAGAUGAGUGAGGGUUUGUCAUCAACAUUUAGUGGGUAUGCUAGUUUGAGGUUAUAGAAAAAAGAGUGUGACGUAAUUAAUGCGAAAAAAUCCAGAUUUUUAUUUUACAAAAAAAAUAUAUAUCUAGCACCCUCCCGCCUCCCCUACCCACCCUGGCCCCCACCCUCCCCGGAGUCAUGGCCCCCGUCGACGCCGGCUGCGGCACGAGCCGCCACCACCGCGAGAAACGCUGGAGAGACUCGGAUAGCUCCUCCUCGGACUCGCGCUCCUACUGCGACGUGGUGCGCACUACUCCGCCUNNNNNNNNNNNNNNNNNNNNNNNNNNNNNNNNNNNNNNNNNNNNNNNNNNNNNNNNNNNNNNNNNNNNNNNNNNNNNNNNNNNNNNNNNNNNNNNNNNNNCACGAUGGGCACCAAUGUCUGAAUUUUGACGGGGUCUAACUUACCACAAGUAUUCCAUUGAUCGAUUUCCCUGACBUAAUAACCCAAGAUACCCAUGUUAUCGACGCAACUAAAGUGAUGACAGAGAACUAGAUAACUCUGAACUUUUCCAAAACCAAAUGAUACAUAGCCCUGAACUUCUGCCAACCAACACGUAUACUACACAUGAUACAUAACCGAGUUCAAGCCUGCGUAAAUCGCACGCAAACACUUACAGAGUUUUGCUAUGAAGAGAGUUAAAUAAAAUUCAGGGGUGCUGCACCAGCGACGAAUUAAAAAGUAAAAACACAUCUCGACGGCAAAUAGAUUUAGGGAAGAAAAUACUAGCCCGUACAGUAUUACAGAUAAAGCACCUUGAUUACAUCAUCUACUCAACAAAUUCGCUUCUCCCCCUAAAAAAAACAUCGCUUGUGGGAUUACCUCUCUAGGAGUACAUACUGAAUCAAAUGCUGGUGGCCGGCCAGUUGAGUGGCAGACUUGCAGCACAAUGUAUAUCGAACAUAUUCUUAUUGUGGCCGGCCAGUUGAGUGGCAGCAAUGGAUCGGGCGACCGUGUAGCUCUCCAGAUGCAUGACUUGAUUCAGCACAAUGUAUAUGGAACAUAUUCUUAUUGUUUCAGAACGAGCGGAUGAACAACACUAAUUAGAUAAGAAAACAAGGCAGCUAGUUUUGGGUGGUUGGUCUCUCCGUCAGAGGCAGACCCCUUUUUCUUUGCAUGGGUUUUUUCAAUUUUGAGACGUACUCUUCCCACUCCUUGUCAGACUUAAACAUGUCAUCCUCCAUGUUUCUGCUGACACGGAUCUCAAGGUCAGGGUUCAAUUUGAUUGCUUUCUCAACAGAACACUCCAGAAUCUCCACCAUUCCUGGAGCUACUUUGAAGCAAUUAAUUAAGACCUCGAGGUGUGCAAGGACUGAAAGAUGCUCGACACCCAAGCCUGCAAAAAAGUCUGACGCCACCCAUAUGGGGGUCAACUCAAGACGGAGCCGUCGGAGUGAUGGCACAGCACCUGGUGCGAAUGUUAGCCGCCCCUGGUGUGACGUUGCUGGUUCCUUUCCAACCAGGACCGUAGUAAGACCAAUAUUGGAAGUCAAAGAACUUUAGCAGUUUGAAUCCAUCGCUACCUAUGCUCAGCUUUUCUUUGAUGGCCCCAUCUACGCAGAGCUGAAGAUGGGCCAGAGAAGGCAUGCCCAUGAGGACACUGAGACCCUCCUUAUCAAAUUCCAUGACCGUCACGCACAACUUCACGAGAUUAUCGAGAGAGGCCAUUCCCCUGGGAACCAUUCGGAUAGGUGACUGGAUUUUAAGAACUUGGAGGCACGUGUAUGUGCAGCAUGGGUUACAGAACAGACGCUUGACUAUCUCCCAACCGGUAACAAGAUAGCGAAGGUUGCAUUUGCCCAACUCAUUUACUUCCUCCGCAAAUCUUACAGGGUCGUCAGUUUUCUUAAAGCUUAACUCCUCCAAGGCCUGCAGACUCCGAAACCCAGCUGCAGUCAAUUGUGUGUGAGUGCUGACAAAUAGGCGCACCAAUUUCUGCAACUGCACCACGGAUGAUGGCAGUCUUAGAAGUGAAUAACAGCCUGUCAAAUCUAGAGUCUCUAAGUGCUGCAGCUUUCCAAUUUCCCAAGGAAGCUCCUUAAUGUUCACACUGUCAAUUCGUAAAUACCUUAGCUGGCACGAACUUCCUAUGUGUUUUACAUGCUUGUUUUCCAACGAAUAACAUCUAGCAACAUCCAACACCCGCAGAGCAUGGAAGCCCACGAGACAGGGUAUCUGAUUAUUAUGCAGCCCAAACACAGUCAGUGAGCGAACAUGUAUCUUGGUUUCUGUAAUUGCACCAACUGCCCCUUUAUUCUCUUUGCCACUAGAUUGCAUGGACAGACGACGUAUCUUAUUUGGGAAUGAAUUGCAUAUACGCCCAUUUAAAACAGUGGCAAAAUUCUCUUCAUCUGAUAAGGAUAUGAUAAGGUCAAGCACCAUAUCAUGGACCCUACAAUAUUUCACCGAACUGUCAUCAUUACCAUAAACUGGCUGAAUCAUAUUUCUAUUAACGAGUUCAUUAAAACAGUUCUCUGCUACUUGAUCCAAACUUCCCCAUUGUGUAGCAAUGAAU